ACUGCAUUUUAAUAAACAUGAAAACAAAAUAAAAAGAGUGUGUAGAUAUGUGUGCUUUAUUUUUCUGCUAAGUUUAAUCUCUAGAAAAAAAAUAAAAAGACCAAAAAGAUGCAUGAUGGAAAUGAUGAACAGUUGCUCUGUUUGCUUACUUACAAGUACCUAGCUUUUAUAUUAGAAUUCUUCCAGGAAUUACUAAAACUAAAAUUACUAUCUUUGGGAAGCAUAAAACUAAAGUCUAGGUAAAAGAAAGGCAUGAUAUAAAGUUGAGCUGCUGUUUAUCUUGUUCCUACUACACUAAGUUCUGGAGAUUUAUUUUGAAAACUUACAAAUCACAUGAUGAGUUCCUAGCAUACAAAACUACCUACCACAGCCAUACUUGCUAUAACAUCUUUUACUAUAUUCACAUUGAGUUUGAUCGAGCUGUGUAGACCCUUAGGAGCUUUUCAUGUGGUUAAAUUAAGAUAUUCACUUGCACACAUCUACCACAGCAUCCAUCAUCAAUCAUUAAAAUUGCUAAAAAUAUUAUCACUCACUGUCCCGAAUAUUGUUAUUCUCUCUCUCUAAAAAGAUUCAAUGCAGAAGAGGCAUGGGUUAUGCAAAAAUAUACGAGGAAAUAAAAAAGGGGCAAGUGCCCGGAACCUCGAAAAAGAGAGAAAAGAAAGUGAGACGAGAGGUAAAAAUGGACAAGUGUCCGAAGUAGAAUUAGGGGUACAAAGAUGCCCACUUGAGCGGAAAAAAUGGACAAGUGUCCGAUAGUAGAAUUAGGGGUAUCUACUACCCACCUGAAAAAAAAGAGAGAAAAAAAGAUAGCCCAUGUUCUCCCAAAGCAAAGAUCAUAGAGGAGGAGAGAUAGCAAUAUGAGGAGCAAUGAGAACUAAGUUUUAUUAACACUUAUACAUUUUCACCAUCACUAUCAUUUACUCCAUCACACAUGCACAUCUUGAUUUAAUUAUAUGCUGAGUUCUUUUGGUUCCAUGGCUCGAUUAGACAACAUAUGUAUGAGCUGUUUUUCACUCCUAUGAGCUCCACAUAAAUAUUUCAUUAGCUAUAGGUAAGUGACAUUAUGGUAAAGAUCCACAAAUACCACAUAUAGAGAGACUUGAGAGAAUCAUUGCUGGGAACUCUGAGUUUUAUUUUGAAAACCUAUGAAAAACUCUAGAACAAAGGUGAAGUAUAAACAGGAGGGAUAGUGCUUGACUUAACUAUUUUGUCUUUCGAUUACUUAAGAUUUAAGUGCAGGUACUAAACUCCAUAACACUUCACUUUAAUCUGGAAGAAUUUUUAUGUAAAAGCAUGUGUGCCUGUCAGGAAAGAAAACAUCAAAGCAACUUCUGAUUCGUCUAAGUUUAGCUAUUUGCUUAGGGACGAGCAAAGGGUAAGCUUGGGGGAGUUUGUUGACGGUCCUUAAGUACUAAAAUCAAUAAUCAAAUAAACAUGAAAAAGGAUCAAUAUGAAACAAACAUCUAGAAUUAGGGUUUUAUCUGACAGAAUUCCACGAGCUUUGGUGUUUAUCUAUUUCUCCAGGGGGUUAUCAGAAAAUAUGGAGAGAAGGCCCACAUGUCAUGUUUACAACGAGAUAAUUACGUGCCGUGCAACGAAGGAGAGCACGAUCGGGCUCGGGGGCAGGGCGGCCACCCACCCCCCUUGGGCGCCCGCCCAGGGUUGGAGUCCAAUCAGGACUCUGCUUCGGGACUACGCUCCACCGACCUAAAGGAUCAAUCUAAACCAUACAAUCUAUAUCGGUUUGAUCCAAUGGCUCACGUUCACUUGAGGGGACUAUAAAACCAGACCCCCUGGCCCCUGGAGGAGAGAGGAUAAAUCAUUAUUCAGAGGUAGCCAUCAAAGUUAGGGUUUAGAGCUUCUCUCCCACAGAGAAUUAGAAUUAGCUACUCCCUAAUCCUUCAAGUUUAGAGGUUGAUUAGAUAGCAAUUAGAGAAGUAGAGCACUACGCUCUGGAUUCGGAUCUUCGGUAAUAAAGAUUGGUAUUAUUCAUAUCUUUCUCUAAUUCUUUGUUCUAAUUGCAUUAUGUCUCUAAUUAUUAUGUUCUUAGUUUGCUCUAGUUCUAUAUUUGAUAUAGUUUUAAUUGAUAAUGAGUUUAUGUAUAAGUUUGCAAAGCGCUUAGCUCUUGACGCGAGGGAGUUAGGUGAUAGAUCACAUGUGAGCGUGGUGCUUAGAUGUUAUUUAUCUGCAAAUGUAUCCUAUUGGCUGGGUCGUGUGGUAGUUCGCGAUAGUGACAGCUUCGUUGAAGUUCUUAUAUAGUCCACCCUCCGUUGAUAGGACAGGCAGAACCGGUAUUGUGGAGUAAGUCAUGCGAUGCUCUGAUUUACUUUAUCAAUGUUCCUUAUACAUGAAUGAAGAGUCUUUUAUGCUAUAUAUGAUCUUGUAGAUAACUAGAGUAGAUUAUGACUUAGUAGUUAGUAGAUAACUUAGAAUCCAUUCUCUAGCUAAUCCGACAUCACCUACAUAUAUGAGGAGUAGUCUAUUUUCUAAUCGCUGUGCUAUCUACCCAUGAACUUAUAAUUCAUUAUCAUUAUCUUUAUGGUUUACCCCCUGCUAAAGUAUGUGACUGUGUGACGAGUUUCUCAUUAGUAAUCAUGUUCUUGCAAGUUUAUCUCUAGUUUAUGCCUUGAUAGAUUCUGCCCCUUGAUUUAAUUUUAUUUUCUUGAGAUCCCUUGAGCAAAAUUAUAAAUAACGAUACCUGGAAUACUUAUCCUGGUGAAAUGCUACAAUGAGGUGUUUUAUCUGUGCGCUUGCGGAUAGAAUAGAUUAUUUUCUAGAGAGCCUUUACAUUUAUAAAUACCUUCGUACACUCUGGCGCCAUGCUAGGGAUGACAACCUAGUAUCUAAGUGGUGUUAGCUAGUGUCAACACACCCUUUGUGGUGUCUAGAUUCCGUAAGCCUCCCAAAUAGAACGGAAGAUCAUCCUUACCAAGGUUAGAACGAGAGUGCGGUUGUAGUCUUCUCUAUGCAUCGCUCACAUCGAAUCACAUUGUUUGUAGCCUAAAGGGUAGUAGCAAUAUAUUUGGUUAGUCAGAUGCACGCUUUCUCCCAGUGGUAAAAAUAUAAAUACGAUACUCUAGAUAAACUCUCGGGUGAAAUGCUCCCCAAUAUCCGUGCGCUUGCGGAUCAUUUCCUGAUGACAUUACCAAAUAUCAACAAGCAUUUCUAGCACCGUUGCCGGGGAGAAAGAUGGUUUGCUGAGAUAACUUUUAGUCUUGCUAUUAUCUUGUAUUAUACUUUUAUACUUUUAUUCUUUUAUCUUUUUAUUUUUUCCAUCUUUAUGGAUAACUCAAAUUCCACACCUAUUAUUGAAUUUUUUGCACCUUCGGAGACCAGCCAUAGACCAUGGGAGUCAACAAGUCCUUUCUUUGCCCCUAAUUAUGAUCUGUGUCCGGAGUUGAUUGCAAUAGGUCAAAACCAACCCUUUCCUAUAGCCGAGGUCCUAUCUUUUAAUCAAGAAGAUAAUGAACUUUUAGCUACACCUAGGGAAUCUUUUAAUCUUUCUAUAAAUUCUAGUUUAGACCUAGCCCUACAAGACCAUGUUUUUCCUCGAUAUUUUCACAUUGGUAUUGAUCAUAUAACCUUUGGUAGAGUUUUUCUUUCUUUAUCUGUUAGUAAAGCAACGUAUGUCUUCAUCCGUGGACAUCCUUCUUGCACUAGUCUUCAUAAAAAAUCCUAGAGAUAGAGAAGGAAUCAUCUCCUAGACGAGGAAAGGAAGUUUCAAUGGCCGAUUUCCGAACAUUUCAAUCCCAAGAUUCAGCUAUCCAACCCAAACUAGUAGUGCUAAAAAAUCAUCUAAGGGAAGAAGAAAUUCUACCUUUGGAAAUUCAUUUUGGGAUGAGCUUAAACUUCCUGCUUCAUAAGAGACCUUUGAGUGCAUAUAGUCUGAACCUUCCUAAGAAGGGAUCUCUUAGAAAGCAUCUCAAAUCCAAUCCCUUUGAUGGACAUCUAGAAAGACUCAAGGAUGGCAUCUUAAGUGAUACAAUAGAAGGAGAGCGAAGCCAUUUAGAAGACAAUCUCAUCUUCUCCCCUUCUACACCCACUUUUGAUGACUCAUUCGAACCUAUCUUUAAAUCCAUCCUUAAGCUUAAUAAUUUCUACUAUGCUCUUUCUCUUGAACCUCCCGAUGAUCCUAUGAAUCUCUCUAGACAUCCCAUGCAUAAGAGUCACCAAGACCACAAGGAGGAUCGAGAAGAGCAACAUCAAUGGCUAGAGGGCAUUAAAAAUCCAUGUGCUAUCACCAUUGAAUGGAUGGAUAAAACAAACUUGAGAGACAAUCCUAGAGGAAUUUUAAGCAUUUAUGAAGAAUCAUCCUUGGAUUUUGAGAAUGAGAGAAACAAUAGAGAGCAUGGAAGUUAUUUCAUAAAUACCUCACCAAGUCCUUGCUGAUAUAAAACAUCUCCCCAAUCAAUUGGUCUGUCCAACCUUACCACAUUUGAGAUCUCCAACCCCCUCUUCCUUUCUAUGUAUAAAAACUUUAAAGGGGUGGUUAUCGAUGCAUAUGUCUAUAAUAAAUAUUGCAGAUAUCGUUGAGUCGAUCUUGAUAUAGGCACGUUUAGGUUGGUGUUGGAGGGGAAACCACUUCACCAACAUAAUUUGAUGGUUUCCCAAGGACAAGCUUAGUGUCCUAAAACAAGCACUUAUCAGAUCGUAACAUGAACUUUUAAUUACUUGCAACAUUACCUUGUGUAUUGAGCAUAUAAGGAUAAUUGUAAAAAUAUUCCUUCGGGUAUUCGUGUCACUAACCUUUCUAGGAUUGGAGCAAGAAGAUCUGAGGAAUGACAAGCACAAGGUAUGCCCAACCAAUCAUCAUGCAACAUUGAAUUAAAUUCAUCCAAUCUUAAAUUUUGCAAAAUUCAAGCUUGGGGGAAAUACCUUACAUAAAAACAUCCUUUGCCAUGUUGCUAUGUUGGUUGUCCCUACCUUUGAGACAUGCUUAAUUGAUUAAAUACUAAUCACACUACUUCAUCUCCACUUGAGUAGAUCUCUAUAAGUGCCAUCACGCUACCUUUGUUUAUCCUAGUAAGUGUUAGUUUGGAAGUACUACACAUACUUCUAUUGGCUUUUAAAUUAAGCAUGGUGCUUAGGUUAAAUAGCCUUCCUUAAUCUGAUUAGACAUGGAGUCUAGUUCGGUUAUUGAACUAAAAAUUGUUUGUGUAGACAUUGGUAUAUUUUGUCGGACUAACCCCUGCAGGAAAACUUUCAAUAUCGAUUUGGGAAGUCCUGAGAUAAACUCACAUCAGAUAUAAAGAGAGAGACACAUGAAGUUUAACAAUUUGCACAAGAAGGACAUAGCUCAUUCAUCAUAGAGAGAUGAUCCACAGAAGGAGACAAAGUACAUAAACAAGAUACACAACCAUUACGAAUGGGAAGCUUCCACAAGGUGAGAUGGUACCAUCACUCUUCAAUUAAGGUAACAUCUUAAGAUAUGUGACUAUCACUUUUAUAAGCUUCUCCUUGGUUCUGGCGUUCACAUAAAAUAAAGAGACAAACAUGUAUGAUUUGUAACUCCAAAUUAACCAACCCAAUUAAUUCAACAUGUUUAGUCCUUUAAUAUUUGUUCUUAGUACUACCUUUGUGAUCCCACACUCCUAAUCAUAUAAGCUAAAAUGUUGCACAUUCAAUCUUUGGAAGAUAUAAACAAAACAUAAAUAUAGAUAGAUUAUCUUUCCAUUAGGUUGAGUAAUCUGAUCUGACAAAUGUUUCAAAUGCUUCACUCAUGAUCCAUCAACUUUGUCUUGCUCACUAUGCUUAAGGAUAGAGAAGAAUAAAUAUACUUUUGGUUUUGUUGGUAUUUUCCACCAACAGGACCCAUGCACUUGAUCUCUGCCUUGUCUCUAUGAGCAGGAUUGAUAUGACCACGCCACCAAGCAAGAUGUCACAAGCUCCAAGUCAAGCUACACCCACUCAAGUUUCACCUACACCGACACCAGCCCAAGUCAUCGAUGGACCGAUUACACAUAGUAGUGCAAAGAAGCUACAACAAGAGGUCCACGCGCUACUUUGUGAGAUUCAUUUUAACAUUAAUGAGAAUUAUAUACUACCUAAGUGUUGUACCUUGAUUGUACUCAGGUAUAUAGAAGAAGAGAAUGAUGAAUCGGACCCUGAAGAAUGAACCAGUGCAAGUUCCAGAAGAAGUCAAAAACGGACCAGUGGAAGUCAAAAACGGACUAGUGCAAAGAAAUCUUCAUAACUUUUAACUCACAAAAGCUAUGAAGGUCCAUGAGCACUAGUUGGAAAGCUUGACGAGUCUACUUUCCAAUGAAUCUAGUGGCGACCAGUUUGGAUACUCCAUAUUGCUUGUAGACCAGAAUUAGUACAGACUGCUCAGUAGGUCAACAGUCUGUCGUGACAGAAUGUUAGUACAACUUGCCAAGUACAACUGUACCAAUCUACGAUGUUUUGUACUGGUUGGCAUACAUUGCUGGAAAUCCCUUUGAGUCUAGUUUCACACCCAAGAAACGGUUCAUCAUUUGGACUUCCCAACAAAAAGUUAUGGUUAGUUUAUUGGAAACUGCUCUAGAGGCUAACAGUCACGCGAAGCCACUUCGGGAAUCCAUUUCGAGGGGACCUUUCACAUUGCCUUCCCUCAGAAACUCUAUUUUGUUUUCACACCUAUCUAGCAGGGCUGUUGCUAGUAUAAAUACCCCCUAAGACUCAUUGUAAUCUUAGACUUUUGAGAAUUGAAAUAUAGAACCCCUUUUGUUUAGCUGUGUGCUAGCAAAUAUUCAGAGAGUGAUCUCUACCCCUUUGCUCUUGUGAUUUCCUCACGGGAUUACAUAGGCAGCGGCUUCAUCCGCUCCCAAUUGGUGCUCCUACUCCCUUCAAGGUAUUCCUUGAUUGAUUGUAGGCUGUGUUGGUUGGUUCUUUGAGAGUGUGGUUGGGCGAAUCCUCGAUUUACGUUGCCGGUUAAAGACGGUGGUUGGCUUCGAGUUUUAUUUGCCAGGUUGCACUAGUUAUCGCUGCUUGCAGCAAGUUAUCCGGCUGUUCUUCAGCUAGUUAUCGGUGUUCUUCCUAUGUCGUGAAGAUCGGGACUACGUGUCGCAUCAUCUGGUAUCAAAGCUUUCGUUGCCACGGUAGGAAUUUUAUCCCUAGCUACAUAUAUAUUUUGCUUCGUCCUAUCCACCAAAAUGCCAGAAAAAUAUAUUGCUUAGACCUUUGUUUCAAUAUGUUAUUUUAGUGAGUUCGGUUAAGUCGCAGUCCAUUAGAGUCUUUGUUUUAGUUGCUGAUCAUUUAUCCUUCACGUAUUCUUUGUGCCUCUUUUAUAUCUAAAAAUCCCCACAAAAAAAUCUCUAUAGCCUAUAUCAUACUUUGUUUUAACUUUUAUCAUAUCUAGCUACUGGUUGUUGUUUUAUUUCUGUCUUUAGUUGUGUAAGUAUCAUAAUCUGAUCCCUGUUUUUUAGUUCUAUAUAUAAAAAAAAGUGUGUCAAAAAAAAGAAAAGAAAGUGCAAAAAAAAGUGAAGUGAAAAAAAAGUUGAGAAAGGUUCAGAGAGAAAGUCUGAAAGAUUAGUUGGUUUAUGUGCACAAGUGCUGAAAGUUUCAUAUCAAGUUCUGCAACCAGUUUGCUAUCUUUGUUUGGUGCAAAACUUUGGUUGGGUCUGAUUGCAACACUUGCAUCCCAAUCAUACUCCUUGUUUGCAUCAAUUCUGAAAUUUCUUUGCGUGUGUGUGAUCUAUGAGACGAUCUAGAUUUCCACGAAGGGAAAUCCCCAGAUUCGAAUUGUAAAACGAAUUAACGCGUGAUGGAGUCAAUUCGAAAUACCCGAAUUUCAGCUGUUAUACAAGUCAUACACGAACAAAGGAGAGUACAAGAGGGGUUUACUCAUUAUUACAUCGCCACUUGGCGGAAUCACACUCACACACACAGCAUGCGGAACAGCAUCGGGUAGAUAGCGAAGGCGCGAACUCCGGAUCCUCCAAACUUGAGCGUAGGAUGAGACACCUACUCCUCCCAAUCGUCGCCCGCGUAGUCGUACUCAGGCUCAGAACCUGCUGCCAAAGUAUCAGUACGAUUUGUACUGGCCACUGGCUCCCACCCUAUGCUUUUUGCGAAGCUUUGUGGUAGGUGGAAUGCAAGGGGAUGAAUCAAAAGACCUAAGAUAUGGCUGUAGUUUUCUAUGCGAAUAAGUCAAAUUUUAUAUUAAUAAGUCAACUUUUAUUCCAACUCCUUUCACACACAUUUUCCCAUCCCAGCACACACAUCUCACCACACUCUCACUCUCUAGGCGGCAAGGACGACUCCCGCUCGUGCCUUGCCUCAGCGGCCAUCGCCGGAUCCAACACAAACCCAGGGAAAGGUAGAAAGGACUCCUCUCUCUAGUCAAGUGAAGCUGUACUUAGGAAAGGUCCAUAGCCGCGAACGGCGUAUGUAUCGACUGAUCAACCAGAAACUCUGCAGAGGUUUACACCACUCACAAGAUCACCAUCAUCGACGCUGUACAUCGUCUAGGCUGAUUCUGGGCUGCCUUCCAACUAACACGAUGCCACCCUACCACUCAGAACUGGGGCCAUACCGGAGUACCACCGGCAUGCUGAGACUGUGAGACGUAGUACCGGGCCCCCAGGGUCACUACGCUGUCUUAGGAGGGUGUGGGUCCCAUGCCCGUACCUCCCUACACUAUCCGCUAACAACCUAGUAGUAGUGGCAUCGCCCUAGAUGGUCGUACAUCCGUCCCCCUCCCAUGAAGGCGAGUGAGGGUGCAAGGCUUCCUAGGACCCGGUCCACAGAACAUAUCAGUCCUUAAGCGACCAAGCAAGACAUCUUCACGUGGGGUCGGCCGAUGCCCCGCUCAACGGGACAUCUGGUCACCCCGUGCUAAACAGCAUCUCCCAUCCCGGCGCUUCGUCCCACGAAGACACUCCACUCCGGGAGCUCACCCUGUCACAUGUGCCCGCCACAGGCAUCUCUCUUGGGAAAUGCCCAGGUAGCAUCUCCCGGCAUGACUCGUCCCAAGACUCGUCGUACAUUCCUGCUCGGUCGACUCAACCCUCACCACACACCCAAAACACACGCCAAGAUCUCCCCCAAAUUCCGAUAUCGGCAUUCCAAGCCUUAACCAACCCAACCAUUGUCCACCAAGCAUCACAUCACAGAUAUAAUGCAGAGUAAAGUACCAGUAGUAAGAUGCAAGCUUCUAACCUAACUGCGGGUAAGCAAGGGUAGUAGGUUGCGACAAGGUAACGGCUCACAAGCAUUUCUACCAUGCAUCCUAUCCCAGAUUAUUGCAUAAAAGUAAAACGCUAGCUUCUACAUUCAUGGCAUGACUAAUAGGAUUCUACGAGGUUGGGUGGGAUGUGGCACCUAGCAAGUCAUCCUCGAGCUCCUCAGUGUAGUCGGGGUCGUACUCCUCAGUCGUCGGCUCCUCCUGGUCUGUCAAACGAGACAUAUGGUCGCAAUAAGCGACUCCUAUAGAUAUCACAAAAAUCCAAUAGAAGAAUCGAAAGAACCAAAUGCACUCAUAAAUAAGCCUAAGACGUAGAGCUUCUUUUUAGAAGAAUCUGGACUCUUGGUUUAUAUUUUUCGGAAAUCAUUUGGGGGUUUAAAUGAUUUAUGCAUUUUAUGGUUGUGGAAAAAGAAAGGAAAAAGGAAAAGAAGCUGGUUAAGUGGCUUGGGCUCAAACUGGCCCAACUCAGCGGCCAGGGGGAGUGGAGCGCGGGCUUACUCCUGGCGCGUUCGGCCCAGGAUAGCCUGGCGGCCGCCUGCUUGCUGUGGGCUGACGCUCCUGGGCCUCGGCCUUGGCUGGCUCGGCCCAGUGGCCAGGGGGAGUGGGCGCGCGGUGUACGGGUGCACGGGUACACGGUGGGGUCUGUGGUCCGUUGGCUGGGUCUUCGUGGACCUGGUCCACCUAGUCUCUCCUCCUCUUCGGUCUACGGCGGACCGGGUGCAGCCAGGAGGCUCUCUCUGCCUCCCCUCCCCUGCUCCCCCUCUCCCACGACGCCGAUGGGCAGCGCCAUGCUCCGGCGGUGCUCCGGUGCCCUUUUUCCCCCUUGUUCUUCCACCCUAAGUGGCACCUCGACUUUCGUUCCCUCUGCGCAUCUCGUGUGGCGUCACUCUUCCUUUCCUUGCCGACCGUAGCGAUCCGGGGCGCCCUGCACCGAGGCGGGGGCCGGCCAUGGCGGACGCACGGCCGCGCCUCGCCCUCGGUGUUUCCGUGCUCUUCUCUUGGCAAAGGCGCGCGCUUAGAGCGUUCUAGAGCAAGGCAGGAACACUAAAGGAGAUUUGGGACCCUCUAGUGAUGCGCAGCGGCCGGGAUGGCGUACAUGCCAAGGGUGAUCGUGCUCGUGGCGCCUGCGGCCGCGAGCGUGCUCGCUCGGGCGCGCGCGUCGCGGCAGCCGGCGCGCACGAGUGGCGCGGUGCGUAGGUGGGCGCGAAACGGGUGCCUUGAGGUCUGCUCAGGUGAGUCCAUGCCACUGUUUAGGGCGCGUCCGCGGAGAUCGCGCGUUCGCGCUCCCGCUCCAGCUCUCGCGGUGGUUCAGCAAAGGCCGGGCCUUGCUCCCGACCCGGAUGUGUGUGUGCUGCGUGCGCGCGGGUGUGCAGUGUGUGAGAGCGAGACGGACGCGGGGAGUGCAAAGGCAACGCCUUGGGUGAGUUUGCGGCGUGCGGCCAUGGCGCAAGUGCUCGGCUUGGUGGCGCACAGAGAUGACAAUCGAAGACAUACCGGGGGUGGCGAUGGUUGGUGGAUGGCUCUGCAGCGGGGGGUUGGGGUCGUGACGAGGCGGGAUCGCAGCGCCGUGGAGCUCGUCGCGAGGUAGGGGAGGAAGACGGUGGCGAGGUCGCCCCUGCUCCGGCGUCCUGGGCGGCUCUGGCAGCGUGGUCGCCCCUGCCCCUCCUUGCUUCUCCCUCUUGCUUGCGGCGCUCGGUGCGUGGCGGCUGAGCCGUGGUGUGGUGGCGGGGUGGAUGGGAGGCGCUAGGGCUUCGGGAAUUGGCUUUUAUAGCCAUUCCCGGCCAUGGUUGCGGCGGACGGUGGGGGAUGACAUCGGGACACGUGUAGGGUGUCCGCGACCGCAGGGCUAGGGUUCGAGGCGCGGGGGGGGGGGGGGUGGUUGGCGAGGCCCUGGCGUUCUCCCGUCCGCUCUCGUCCAGUCAAAAGGCGAGCGCAGUGUCGUCACCACGCUGCAGGGGCGCCGGGGAAGAAAAGCAGGGAAACGGAGGUGAGGUGGGGGAUGACGGGCGGGGCCCGCCUGUCAGCCGCGCGGGCGCUGGGCGAGCGCUCGGCCGGCCGCUGGCCACGCGCGCGAGUCUUGGGCCGCGCUAGCGCUUGGGCCGCUGGCUAUGCGCGGGUGGGGUGCGCGUGCUGGGCCGCGCGCGCGGUGCUGCGCCGCGGCGAACGCGAGCGCGGGUGGGGUGCGCGUGCUGGGCCGCGCGCGCGGUGCUGGGCCGCGGCGAACGCGAGCGCGGGUGGGGCAGCGAGCUGGGCUGCGAGCUCCUCUCGGGCCAAAUCUGCUUUUCAUUUUUCCAGCCCUAGCUUCAUCCCUUUUUCUAAUUUCUGCUAAAUCUUCUAUCCACCCUUGGUUCCCUAAUUGCAUAAACAAGCUGCCAACAUGUUUACGCCCUAAAAGGGAAGUCUUCUAGGGGUCUAGGAUUUUAUGGACACUAAUCCACGGGUCGGGUUUUUAGUAAAUAAAGGUUAUUGAUUUUAUUACUCAUCACAUAAAAUCAAAUAAAAGCCAAAUCACAUGUUGAAUUAAAUAUGCAUAUGCUCAAAAAUUAAAUAGGCUCUACUUGUGCAUCUACAAGGGAUUUUCCUAGUAUGAAUUCACCAAACAAGGGUUAUUUUUAGAAAAAUUUUCAGAUGGUAUUUUUGGGUAUUUUAGGAAAAUUUCUGGGUCAUUACAGUCCUUCCCCCUCAUUGGAAUCUCGUCCCGAGAUUUAAGGUGUGAUGUACCUUUCGAAGAGGUAGGGGUAUCGUAACUGCAACUCAGACUCUUUCUCCCAAGUGGCUUCUCUUUCUGUGUGGUUGCUCCACAGAACCUUGCACAUGGGAGUGGUAGAGCUUCUAGUUUCCUUGGUGGCUCUGUCUAGAAUCUUGACUGGGUACUCCCGGUACUCUAGUGUUUCCUGUAGGUCUAGUGACUCAACGGGCACCUGUGUCUCUGACAGUUUCAAACACCUGCGUAACUGAGAUACGUGGAACACUGGAUGCACUCUGUCUAGGUCUUCUGGUAACUCUAGCUUGUAUGCUAACUUGCCAAAACUUGCAACGAUCCGGUAGGGGCCUACAAACCUGGGUGCCAGCUUCCCUUUCACAUGGAAUCUGAAAGUCCCACGUAGCGGGGAGACCUUGAGGUACACAUGAUCCCCCACUUUGAACUCGAGAUCCCUUCGACGGUUAUCUGCGUAACUUUUCUGUCUACUCUGAGCGAUCUUCAAGUUCUCUCGCACAUGGGCGACUCCUUCUUCGGCUUCUUUAAUUUUAUCAGGGCCAAAGAACGCUCUCUCUCCCACCUGUGACCACAUCAGCGGGGUUCUACAUUUCCUUCCAUAUAGGGCUUCAAAAGGUGACAUCUGAAUGCUGGCCUGAUAACUGUUAUUGUAGGAGAACUCUGCAUGAGGUAGACUUUUUUCCCAAUCUAACCCAUACUUCAGUACACUGAGCAUAUCCUCCAGGACCUGAUUCACUCUCUCAGUCUGCCCAUCAGUCUGCGGGUGGUAUGCGGUGCUAUAGUCUAAGCGGGUGCCGAUUGCCUUGUGCAGGCUCUGCCAAAACUUGGAUACCCACUGGGGGCCACGGUCUGAGACUAUGCUAGCAGGUGCCCCGUGAAGCCUGAGGAUGUGAUGUAUGUACAAGUCUACCAAUUUGUCGGCUCGGUAGUCCAUCUUGACUGGCACGAAGUGGGCUACCUUGGUGAGUCGAUCGAUGAUCACCCAGAUGGAGUCAUGGCUUUGCGAGGAUCGGGGUAACCCCACGAUAAAGUCCAUGGCUAUGUUGUCCCAUUUCCACUGUGGUAUGUCUAGGGGUUUGAGCAACCCGGCUGGCCUUCGGUGCUCUGCUUUGACCCUAUUGCACGUGUCACAUCGAGCAACAUGUCCAGCGAUGUCUUUCUUCAUAUCCUUCCACCAGAAGACCUUCCUCAAAUCAGCGUACAUUUUGGUGCUGCCAGGGUGUAUGCAGUACCUAGAGUCGUGUGCCUCCGACAAGAUCUCUUCAUGCAAGGCCUCGUCGCUAGGUACACAAAUUCUGUUCUUGCACCAAUAUGUCCCUCUUUCAUAUGUUCGGAACUCGGGGCAUUUCCCCCCUUCCAUGCGCUCGUGGACCUCUUGGAUCUAAGGACAGUCCUGCUAGGCUCUGCGGAUUCGAUCUUCUAUGUCAUAUUGUAUCCGCAACUCACUGAGCAAACCCCUGGGUAUGAUCUCCAGUCGUAGGUCUCCCAUCUCCUGACAUAAUUCUGACGGUAUGGCUUCCAUGGACAGGCUAUGACAAUAGCUCUUGCGGCUCAAGGCGUCAGCAACUACAUUUGCCUUUCCUGGGUGGUAGUGGAUCUCCAGGUUGUAGUCCUUUAUGAGCUCCAACCACCUACGUUGUCUCAUGUUCAGAUCUUCUUGAGUGAAAAAGUACUUCAAGCUCUUAUGAUCAGUGUAAAUGUCACACUUGUUGCCGAUCAAGUAGUGUCUCCAGAUCUUCAGGGCAUGCACUACGGCUGCUAGCUCAAGGUCAUGGGUGGGGUAGCGUUGCUCAUGGUCAUUCAGCUAUCGCGACGCAUAUGCUAUGACUUUCCCACUCUGCAUCAGAACACAUCCGAGUCCCUGUCUCGAAGCAUCACAGUAGACUAUGAAGUCCUUCUGAAUGUCAGGCAAGGCUAGCACAGGGGUGGUGGUAAGCUUCUGUUUCAAGGUCUAGAAACUCUGUUCACACUCAGGUGUCCACUCAAACUCAUUGGUCUUCUUGAGGAGGUUGGUCAUUGGCUUGGCGAUCUUAGAGAAAUUCUCAAUGAAUCGGCGAUAGUACCCGGCCAAACCUAGAAAACUGCGGAUAUCAGUCGCAUUACGGGGUUGCUCCCAUUCUUUCACGGCUUCUAUUUUUGCUGGGUCAACUGCAACCCCCUCAGCUGUGAGAACAUGCCCAAGGAAGGCGACUUCUUCAAGCCAGAACUCGCACGUACUGAACUUGGCAUAGAGCUGAUUCUGCCUCAACUUCUCCAGAACUACUCUCAAGUGCUGCUCAUGUUCUUCGGCAGAGGCUGAAUAGACAAGAAUGUCAUCAAUGAACACCACAAUGAACUUGUCUAGUUCUUCCAUGAACACCUUGUUCAUCAUAUUCAUGAAGUAGGCCGGGGCAUUCGUGAGUCCGAAGGACACAACGGUGAACUCAUAUUGCCCAUACCUUGUGACAAAGGCUGUCUUAGGUAUAUCCUCCGGUCUGAUCUUCAUCUGAUGGUACCCGGAUCGGAGAUCAAUUUUUGAGAAGAACUUGGCAUCCUUCAACUGAUCUAAUAGGUCAUCGAUCCUUGGGAGAGGGUACUUGUUCUUGACAGUCACGGCAUUUAAGUUUCGGUAGUCAAUACACAUCCUCAUGGAACCAUCCUUCUUCUUCACGAACAAGACAGGGGAACCCCAUGGUGAAGCACCAGGCCUAAUGUACCCCUUAUCUGCCAACUCCUUGAGUUGCUUCUUGAGCUCUUCCAGCUCAUCGACUGACAUGCGGUAGGGCCUCUUAGCAAUGGGACCCGUACCCAGCAGAAGGUCGAUCACGAACUCCACAUCUCUGUCAGGUGGCAUACCCGGCAACUCCUCUGGAAACACGUCAGGGUACUCACUCACUACAGGCACCUCCUCUACUGACUUGGAUUCUAAGGCGCAUAUCAUGGGCGCCUUCUUCUCAUGGUUAGGCUCACAUCGAAGCACACGACCGCUCGGGUGCGUUAUCUCUACAUACCUCGGUGAACAAGAUAUCACUCCCUUGUGUUGGGUCAGCCAAUCCAUUCCUAAGAUGACAUCCAGUCCAUCUGACGGAAGUAAUGUGAGGUCGGCUAGAAAAGGGUAACCCUCAAUGGUGAUACUCACUCCCUGACAUUUUUGGGUGCAUCUGAGGUUGCCUAAAGGAGAUAUGGUGUCUAUAGGUACCUUCCGUGGUGACACGGGUAGGUUGUGCUCUCGUGCGAAUCUGGAGGAUACAUAUGAGCAAGUUGCACCAGAGUCAAAUAGAACUGAUGCCAUAACUCCCUGUACCAAAAACAUACCGUACACCGCGUCGGGGGCGUCCUGAGCGUCCUGUGCUGUCAGGUGUGUGAGACGGCCGCGGGUGGCUCCCACAGCUGGCUUGCAAAGUGUGCCCUGAGCAGGUGUCUGCCUGGCGGCAGCUGGGGCAGGUGGUGGAGCAGUCUUCGCCGGGCAGUAGGCAGCCUUGUGGCCUGGCUGACCACAGUUGAAGCAAGCGAAAGGCACACUGCCUGUGGAGGUGGGUGCAGCGGCCUUCCACAUGCUGGUACUCUGCACAGGGUGGCUCUGAGUGGGGCGGUGGUAGUUGGCGGUGUGGGUACCACCUCCUCGACUCGGAGCCGGUGCAGCACCCUGAGCAGAGCGGGGGCGUGACAGAGGGGGCACGUGAGCACGUGGCCUCUGGGGUGCCGGGCCACGAGAAGAACUCUCGGACCGGCGCUUCUUCUCCUUGUACUGAGCAUCGGCCUCCAGGCGGUCCCUCUCCAUCUCCAGGGCCUUGUUGAUCAUCUCCCGGAGGGUGUAGCAGGUGUGUCCCGAGAGGGCCACCUUGAGGCGCGUACUCAGACCCUUCUUGAAGAAGUACAUCUUCUUCUUCUCAGUGUUGGACUCAUCUGGAGCAUACCUCAUGGUGCGGGUGAAGCGAGUGGCAUACUCCUGUACCUUCUGAGUGCCCUAGGAGAUGUUGCGGAACUCCUCCACCUUGGCGUCCAUGACACCCUCAGGUACAUGCUGCUCACGGAAUGCCUCAGUGAACUCAGCCCAGGUUAUGCUCCCGGGUCUUUCAUGGGUGUCACUGUAGCUGUCCCACCAUGCGCGUGCAGCGUGAGUGAGCUGGUGAGCGGUGACUCCCACACACUCCUCAUCAGUGCAAGUGGUGAGGUCCAGCUUCUUCUCGAUCUCACGCAGCCAGUCCUCGGCAGCGAUGGGAUCAUCAUCAGCACAGUCAAACGUAGGAGGCCUCAGCUUGAGGAAGCCUUCUAGCUUCCUUUGGAAGUCAUUGGGCGGACCUCCUCGAGGACGACGCAGUAUGCCAUCCGCCAGUGCCUCCAGAAGGCGGGUCUGGCGAUCCAUCAUCUCAGACAGAGACGGUGGCGGCGGUGGUGGUGCAUCAUUGUCCCCGAGCUGAGGGGACCUAGCUCUCCUGUGGGGCUCCUCUAGGGCAGGCUCUCCUGGGGCGGGCUCCUCCCCCUCCCGCUCAAGUCUAGGGGCAGGAGAGGCAGCUCCUCGACCACGCCCACGUCCACGACCACGGUACUCCACCUCGGGUGAAGGGGAACGAACGUUGAGGCGUUCAGAACAGCGGCACGCCAUCUCUCUGCAUGGAUUAGGUCAUGAUUUAAUGUGUUAAAACAAUGUUUAGAUAAUUAGGCAAUUUAAUUCAUAAAACAUUCUAUCCAACACUCAUACAAAGAAGCAAAUAACAUCGAUAAAAUCCAUUAAGACCCAAACAUUCAUUACAUGAGUUCAUUACACAGCGAUGCCUUGGGCAACUACACCAGAGGGCUCGCGGGAAUCGCUCUACACGCAGGUAGGCUCCAAAAGAACAGGACAUUCCGCUCUACUACAGAUAGUGAGUUACAUGUCGCAUUAUUCGCCACGCAGGGCACAUCAUCAGGACGACUACUCUACUCUACUGGGUAGGGACGUAAGGUGGUGUGGUGGGGCGAGAGCUAGGGAGCUGCUCCUCAGAGUCCCUGUCCAUAGCCUCGAGCUCGGCGUCAGUGCGGUGAAGUCGGCCGGCGUACCCCUCCGCGGCCUCGAGCUGUAUGGUCCUCGGUACCUCAGGGUAGUGCUCAGAAGGGCAAGCAGUGAGGUUGAGGGUGGUGGGUGCAGGACGGAAGGAGUGCUUGCGCGCCUCCUUGCGCAUCUUGGGAGGAAGGGGCUCCUGGACACGGGCGAUCUCCUGGACACACUUGUUGUCAGAAGCGAUCCAAGCCUGACAGGUCCUCUGGGCCUUGUCCCUGAAGUACUCCGUGGUCUUGAUGAGCUCAGCUAGGUGACGAGUGUUGUGGGUGGACUCAGCCCUCAGCAUCUCAUUCUCCUGUGACAUACGCUCAUAGCGGGUCUCCAGACACAGCUUGCUGAAGAUCUUCUCCUUCUCCCUCUGACGGAACUCGCCCAAGAGCACCCGCUGGCGCUCAAGUCGGUCCUCCAGCUCAAGCACCUUGGCGUCCAAGUGGUCGCCCCGGAGCUCGUAGUUUCUGGCCUUGUUCUGCCACUCCUGGAUCUCCUGCCUAAAGGCGACCUCGCGAGCUCGGCUGAAGUCCUCCAGGCGGUCAUGGCUGUGGCGCUCUGUCAGGAUAGCGUCCCUCAGUAUCCUCUUCUUCACCUGCUCCAUCUCGAUGAUGUGGUCGGCUGUGAACACCAAGUCUCGGUAGCACUUGUUCUCAGUCUCGACCGCCGUGAUGUAGCGAUCCUGGGCCAAGAUGUAGCGGCCCGAGAACUGAAGACAUGGGUCUGUCUCCUCCUGAGCGAGCUGGUCCGCAGCCAACACUCGGACGGUGGCUCCCUCGACGUAGGUGAGGUCCAGGACACGAGGAAGUAGACGGAAUCUGCCACCCUGGAUGUGCUCCCACGUGUCCUGAACGACGUGGCGGAGGGCGUGGCGAGUCGCGGCCUGGACGCAGUUGGCGACCGAAGUCUCGAUUGCCAGCUCCUGGAAAGCUGCCACUCCAGGAAGCGUCGUGCUGGUGGGGACGGUGAGAUUGAUCACAAUGUGACCCUGAAGCUGUCCGUCCGGUCCCUCCUCUCCACGACAGACGUAGCGGAUCGGCUCGGUAGGGACUCCAAGCUCAGUCAGCACGUCGUACAGCAGGGGCACAAAGCCACCGUACUGUUGGGCGUCCACAGCCAUCUCAACGAUCAACAUGGUGCUCUGCAUUUACCCAAAGAGAAGGGGGUUAGAAAGGAAUGUAGUGAGAUUUAGGUAGUGAAAGCGUAGAUGUAAGUUAAGCCAUGCAUAAAAGAUGCAAGGUCAGCGAAUAUAGGCCGAAAAGACAAGUCUCACUCCUAAUUUUUGUCAUCCGAUCCUAAGGGUCUCGUCCUAGGGUCAAGUAUGGCUCUGAUACCAAUUGAAACGAUCUAGAUUUCCAUGAAGGGAAAUCCCCAGAUUCGAAUUGUAAAACGAAUUAACGCGCGAAGGAGUCAAUUCGAAAUACCUGAAUUUCAGCUGUUAUACAAGUCAUACACGAACAAAAGAGAGUACAAGAGGGGUUUACUCAUUAUUACAUCGCCACUUGGCGGAAUCACACUCACACACACAGCAUGCGGAACAGCAUCGGGUAGAUAGCGAAGGCGCGAACUCCGGAUCCUCCAAACUUGAGCGUAGGAUGAGACACCUACUCCUCCCAAUCGUCGCCCGCGUAGUCGUACUCAGGCUCAGAACCUGCUGCCAAAGUAUCAGUACGAUUUGUACUAGCCACUGGCUCCCACCCUAUGCUUUUUGCGAAGCUUUGAGGUAGGUGGAAUGCAAGGGGAUGAAUCAAAAGACCUAAGAUAUGCCUGUAGUUUCCUAUGCGAAUAAGUCAAACUUUAUAUUAAUAAGUCAACUUUUAUUCCAACUCCUUUCACACACAUUUUCCCAUCCCAGCACACACAUCUCACCACACUCUCACUCUCUAGGCGGCAAGGACGACUCCCGCUCGUGCCUUGCCUCAGCGGCCAUCGCCGGAUCCAACACAAACCCAGGGGAAGGUAGAAAGGACUCCUCUCUCUAGUCAAGUGAAGCUGUACUUAGGAAAGGUCCAUAGCCGCGAACGGCGUAUGUAUCGACCGAUCAACCAGAAACUCUGCAGAGGUUUACACCACUCACAAGAUCACCAUCAUCGACGCUGUACAUCGUCUAGGCUGAUUCCGGGCUGCCUUCCAACUAACACGAUGCCACCCUACCACUCAGAACUGGGGCCAUACCGGAGUACCACCGGCAUGCUGAGACUGUGAGACGUAGUACCGGGCCCCCAGGGUCACUACGCUGUCUUAGGAGGGUGUGGGUCCCAUGCCCGUACCUCCCUACACUAUCCGCUAACAACCUAGUAGUAGUGGCAUCGCCCUAGAUGGUCGUACAUCCGUCCCCCUCCCAUGAAGGCGAGUGAGGGUGCAAGGCUUCCUAAGACCCGGUCCACAGAACAUAUCAGUCCUUAAGCAACCAAGCAAGACAUCUUCACGUGGGGUCGGCCGAUGCCCCGCUCAACGAGACAUCCGGUCACCCCGUGCUAAACAGCACCUCCCAUCCCGGCGCUUCGUCCCACGAAGACACUCCACUCCGGGACCUCACCCUGUCACAUGUGCCCGCCACAGGCAUCUCUCUUGGGAAAUGCCCAGGUAGCAUCUCCCGGCAUGACUCGUCCCAAGACUCGUCGUACAUUCCUGCUCGGUCGACUCAACCCUCACCACACACCCAAAACACACGCCAAGAUCUCCCCCAAAUUCCGAUAUCCGCAUUCCAAGCCUUAACCAACCCAACCACUGUCCACCAAGCAUCACAUCACAGAUAUAAUGCAGAGUAAAGUACCAGUAGUAAGAUGCAAGCUUCUAACCUAACUGCGGGUAAGCAAGGGUAGUAGGUUGCGACAAGGUAACGGCUCACAAGCAUUUCUACCAUGCAUCCUAUCCCAGAUUAUUGCAUAAAAGUAAAGCGCUAGCUUCUACAUUCAUGGCAUGACUAAUAGGAUUCUACGAGGUUGGGUGGGACGUGGCACCUGGCAAGUCGUCCUCGAGCUCCUCAGUGUAGUCGGGGUCGUACUCCUCAGUCGUCGGCUCCUCCUGGUCUGUCCAACGAGACAUAUGGUCGCAAUAAGCGACUCCUAUAGAUAUCACAAAAAUCCAAUAGAAGAAUCGAAAGAACCAAAUGCACUCAUAAAUAAGCCUAAGACGUAGAGCUUCUUUUUAGAAGAAUUUGGACUCUUGGUUUAUAUUUUUCAGAAAUCAUUUGAGGGUUUAAAUGAUUUAUGCAUUUUAUGGUUGUGGAAAAAGAAAGGAAAAAGGAAAAGAAGCUGGUUCAGUGGCUUGGGCUCAAACUGGCCCAACUCAGCGGCCAAGGGGAGUGGAGCGCGGGCUUACUCCUGGCGCGUUCGGCCCAGGAUAGCCUCGCGGCCGCCUGCUUGCUGUGGGCUGACGCUCCUGGGCCUCGGCCUUGGCUGGCUCGGCCCAGUGGCCAGGGGGAGUGGGCGCGCGGUGUACGGGUGCACGGGUACACGGCGGGGUCUGUGGUCCGUUGGCUGGGUCUUCGUGGACCUGGUCCACCUGCUCUCUCCUCCUCUUCGGUCUACGGCGGACCGGGUGCAGCCAGGAGGCUCUCUCUCCCUCCCCUCCCCUGCUCCCCCUCUCCCACGACGCCGAUGGGCAGCGCCAUGCUCCGGCGGUGCUCCGGUGCCCUUUUCCCCCUUGUUCUUCCACCCUAAGUGGCACCUCGACUUUCGUUCCCUCUGCGCAUCUCGUGUGGCGUCACUCUUCCUUUCCUUGCCGACCGUAGCGAUCCGGGGCGCCCUGCACCGAGGCGGGGGGCGGCCAUGGCGGACGCACGGCCGCGCCUCACCCUCGGCGUUUCCGUGCUCUUCUCUUGGCAAAGGCGCGUGCUUAGAGCGUUCUAGAGCAAGGCAGGAACACUAAAGGAGAUUUGGGACCCUCUAGUGAUGCGCAGCGGCCGGGACGGCGUACAUGCCAGGGGUGAUCGUGCUCGUGGCGCCUGCGGCCACGAGCGUGCUCGCUCGGGCGCGCGCGUCGCGGCAGAUGGCGCGCACGAGUGGCGCGGUGCGUAGGCGGGCGCGAAACGGGUGCCUUGAGGUCUGCUCAGGUGAGUCCGUGCCACUAUUCAGGGCACGUCCUCAGAGAUCGUGCGUUCGCGCUCCCGCUCCAGCUCUCGCGGUGGUUCAGCAAAGGCCGAGCCUUGCUCCCGACCCGGAUGUGCGUGUGCUGCGUGCGCGCGGGUGUGCGGUGUGUGAGAGCGAGACAGACGCGGGGAGUGCAAAGGCAGCGCCUUGGGUGCGUUUGUGGCGUGCGGCCAUGGCGCAAGCGCUCGGCUUGGUGGCGCACAGAGAUGACAAUCGAAGACAUACCGGGGGUGGCGAUGGUUGGCGGAUGGCUCUGCAGUGGGGGGUUGGGGUCGUGACGAGACGGGUUCGCAGCGCCGUGGAGCUCGUCGCGAGGUAGGGGAGGAAGACGGCGGCGAGGUCGCCCCUGCUCCGGCGUCCUGGGCGGCUCUGGCAGCGUGGUCGCCCCUGCCCCUCCCUACUUCUCCCUCUUGCUUGCGGUGCUCGGUGCGUGGUGGCUGAGCCACGGUGUGGUGGCGGGGUGGAUGGGAGGCGCUAGGGCUUCGGGAAUUGGCUUUUAUAGCCAUUCCCGGCCAUGGUUGCAGCGUACGGCGGGGGAUGACAUCGGGACACGUGUAGGGUGUCCGCGACCGCAGGGCUAGGGUUCGAGGCGCGCGGGGGGGGGGGUGGUGGUUGGCGAGGCCCUGGCAUUCUCCCGUCCGCUCUCGUCCGGUCAAAAGGCGAGCGCAGUGUCGUCACCACGCUGCAGGGGCACCGGGGAAGAAAAGCAGGGAAACAGAGAUGAGGUGGGGGAUGACGGGCGGGGCCCGCCUGUCAGCCGCGCGGGCGCUGGGCGAGCGCUCGGCCGGCCGCUGGCCACGCGCGCGAGUCCUGGGCCGCGCUAGCGCUUGGGCCGCUGGCUAUGCGCGGGUGGGGUGCGCGUGCUGGGCCGCGCGCGCGGUGCUGGGCCGCGGCGAACGCGAGCGCGGGUGGGGUGCGCGUGCUGGGCCGCGCGCGCGGUGCUGGGCCGCGGCGAACGCGAGCGCGGGUGGGGCAGCGAGCUGGGCUGCGAGCUCCUCUCGGGCCAAAUCUGCUUUUCAUUUUUCCAGCCCUAGCUUCAUCCCUUUUUCUAAUUUCUGCUAAAUCUUCUAUCCACCCUUGGUUCCCUAAUUGCAUAAACAAGCUGCCAACAUGUUUACGCCCUAAAAGGGAAGUCUUCUAGGGGUCUAGUGUUUUAUGGACACUAAUCCACGGGUCGGAUUUUAUUACUCAUCAUAUAAAAUCAAAUAAAAUACAAAUCACAUGUUGAAUUAAAUAUGCACAGGCUCAAAAAUUAAAUAGGCUCUACUUGUGCAUCUACAAGGGAUUUUCCUAGUAUGAAUUCACCAAACAAGGGUUAUUUUUAGAAAAAAUUUUAGGUGGUAUUUUUGGGUAUUUUAGGAAAAUUUCUGGGUCAUUACAAUAUAUUUAUACACUUCGAAUCUUUUGAUCAGCACUAGGCAGAGAACUUCUAGUUUAGAUCGUUACUUAACUUUACAACAACUAGAAUUCAGAUUGCAUUCCUUGUGUAUUACUCCCACCAAGCUCCACCUAAAAACCAUCGUAAUCGGUAGUCUCUGUUCUUGUAUUCGCCUCGCCAUCACUUUCAGUUGGCACCACACAUUUGUUUUCCUUGUAAUCUGCAGCAGAGGAAUUCAUAAGAGCUUUGGUGGUUAGAGAGGUGAGUUGUGAGAGCCACCAAAUUUUCAUAUUCCACAAAUACAAAUUAUUUGUAUUCAGAUAACCUUACAGGAAGAUGGGUCGAGUGGACAUCAAAGAUCGUGUUACCAUAACACAAUUUAAUAAACUCCGACAAAGCAUGGAAGAAAAGCAAGAGAGGUUGACACAAGAUCUUCAGAAUCUUAUGACUGAAAUCAGAAGGCAUCGUCCACCUCAUGAUGGUGCAAGCAACCAUAGUGGAGAUAGAGAAGAUAGUGAUGGAAGAAGAGGAGGUCGGAGGAACCAAAGGGCUGCAAAUGGUAAAGGAAGGAGACAUAGUGGAAGAAAUGAUGAUGAAUCUAAAGAUGAGGCUGAUGACAACCGCUUCCUACUCAGUUUUGGUCGUCGGUGUCAUAGAAGAGGCAACCAUGAAGAAAGAUUUGGCAAACUGAAAUUUACCAUGCCAAAAUUUGUUGCUGAACCAUCCACGAGGAAUUUCUCUGGAGGAAGCAAAUCAAACACAAAGUUUGCUGCUGAAUCAUCCACGGUGAAAGGCUCAAGUGGAGGCUUAUGAUUAAAUUUUCAGGGUACUUUUAGUGGAAAGAACACUGCUGUCCCAAGUUCAAAACCAGCAGCAUCAACCACUACUUCAGUGGGUUCUACUUCUAGGAGUAGUGGAAUUCAGAGCUUCAAGUGUGGAGGCCUUGGGCAUAUAAGUGAGGAGUGCUCCAAUACUCAGGUGAUCAUUAUGAAUGAUGAUGGAGAAUUUGAAUCAGCUAGUGAAGAGGGAAUUGAGGAGGAAGCCCAUGGAGAUGAGGACCUUAUUUGUUGUUAGUUUGAGCAAGGAGCUGCUCUUGAGAUGACUCAAAUCUUGAGUGUUCAGACAAAUGAAGCUGAAAAUGGGCAGCAACAUAAAUUAUUUCAAACUAGAGCAAAGGUGCACGAUAAAGAGGUGAAGGUGAUUAUUGAUGGAGGGAGCUGCCAUAAUCUUGCUAGUCGUGAGAUGGGUGAUAAACUUGGCUUGAAGCUGCUAUGACACCCUCAUCCAUAUAAUAUACACUGGCUGAAUGAUUCGAAAGAUAUCAAGAUUGGAUAUAAAGUAAACGUUCCAUUCAAGAUUGGUGAAUAUGUUGACACAGUAGAGUGUGAUGUGGCACCUAUGUUGGUGUGUCACUUGCUGCUUGGAAGGCCAUGGCAAUAUGAUCGAUAUAGCCAAUAUUGUGGGAGAACAAAUCAGUUCAAUAUCAAUCUAAAGGGGAAGAAGUUUGUUCUCAAGCCUAUGACACUCCAACAAAUCAUGGCUGAACAUUUACAAAAGAAAUCUGAAAUUGUUCCAGUGAGUAGAGAGGAAGGAGAGCAAAAGAAAUUGAGUGCCAUCCACAAUUCGGUGAGUGAGUGCCACAAGCCAAAUUUGAGGGAGAAAAAGAAAGGAGAAGGAGAGAAUUUAGUCAUGCUAGCCACAAAAUCUGAAAUAAGAGAAGUGAGGAACAACCCCAAACAAGUGCUCUUUGUACUUGUGUACAAAGAUAUUUUAAUUUCAACUAACAACAUGACCUCUCUUCCUAGUGUUGUGUCUCAUCUUUUGCAGGACUAUGGAGAUAUCUUUCCAGAAGAAACACCGGCGGGACUACCUCCAAUUCGUGGGAUUGAGCAUCAAAUUGAUCUCAUUCCAGGGGCUGCACUACCUAAUCGACCACCAUACCGAACCAAUCCAGAAGAAACAAAGGAGAUACAAAGGCAAGUGCAAGAACUUCUUGAUAAAGGUUUUGUUCGUGAAAGUUUAAGUCCUUGUGCUAUUCCUGUAAUUUUAGUACCAAAGAAAGAUGGUUCUUGGAGAAUGUGUGUUGAUUGUAGAGCUAUAAAUAACAUCACUGUUCGCUAUCGCCACCCUAUCCCACGUUUAGAUGACAUGCUUGAUGAAUUAAGUGGUUCCACCAUAUUCACUAAAAUUGAAUUGAGAAGUGGAUACCAUCAGAUAAGAAUGAAAACAAGGGAUGAAUGGAAAACUGCAUUUAAAACAAAAUUUAGGUUGUAUGAAUGAUUAGUUAUGCCUUUUGGUUUGACUAAUGCUCCUAGUACUUUCAUGAGAUUAAUGAACCAUGUCUUGAGAGCUUUCAUUGGAAAAUUUGUUGUUGUAUACUUUGAUGAUAUCUUAAUUUACAGUAAGUCUUUUGAGGAACAUGUGAAUCAUAUUCGGCAAGUCUUGGAAGAGCUUAGAAAGGAGAAAUUAUUUGCUAAUCUUGAGAGGUGCAGUUUUUGCACAGACCAUGUUGUGUUUCUUGGCUUUGUUGUUUCAGGAAAGGGCAUAGAAGUGGAUGAAAGCAAGGUGAAAGCCAUCAAGGAUUGGCCAACUCCAACAAAUGUAAGUCAAGUAAGAAGUUUUCAUGGCCUUGCUGGUUUUUAUAGGAGGUUUGUGAGAGAUUUCAGUACCAUCGCUGCUCCUUUGAAUGAAUUGACAAAGAAAGGUGUUGACUUUAAAUGGGGAAAUCACAACAAAAUGGAUUUCAAGAAUUAAUGAAACGUUUGACUGAAGCACCUGUACUUGUUCUUCCUGAUUUCACUAAAACUUUUGAAGUAGAAUGUGAUGCUAGUGGAAUUAGGAUAGGAGGAGUUUUAAUGCAACAAGGAAAACCUGUAGCAUAUUUUAGUGAAAAACUAGGAGGUGCUCAACUGAAUUAUUCUGUGUAUGAUGAAGAAUUAUAUGCUUUGGUGUGUGUGCUUGAAACAUGGCAGCACUACUUAUGGCCAAAAGAAUUUGUUAUUCACUCUGAUCAUGAAGCUUUGAAGUACUUGAAAGGACAAGCAAAACUAAACCGUCGUCAUGCCAAAUGGGUUGAGUUCAUCGAAACAUUUCCAUACAUUGUGAAAUAUAAGAAAGGUAAGGACAAUGUUGUUGCUGAUGCUCUGUCACGAAAGAGUGUGUUGCUAAACCAAAUUGAGGUAAAGGUUUUGGGACUUGAAAGUUUGAAAGAACUGUACAGUAAUGAUCCUGAAUUUUCAGAACCAUAUAAUCAUUGUAAAAAUGAAAAGGUUGGGAAAAGUAUCAUAUACAUGAUGGAUUUUUGUUUAGUGCUAACAAAAUCUGUGUUCCAAAUUCUUCGAUUAGAUUGCUUUUGUUGCAGGAGUCUCAUGGGGGAGGAUUGACAGGCCAUUUUGGACAAAGAAAAACCUAUGAGCUGCUAGAAGAUCAUCUUUAUUGGCCCAAGAUGAGAAGAGAUGUCAUCAGAUUCGUGGAGCGAUGCGUUACCUGUCACAAAGCUAAGUGUAAACUGAACCCUCAUGGUUUAUAUACUCCUUUACCUACUCCUAAAACUCCUUGGGAAGACAUAAGCAUGGAUUUUGUCUUGGGGUUGCCUAGAACUCAGAGAGGAAAAAAUUCAAUUUUUGUUGUGGUUGAUAGAUUUUCAAAGAUGGCUCAUUUUAUUCCUUGUAACAAGAGCGACGAUGCUUCACAUAUUGCUAAUUUGUUCUUCAGGGAAAUUGUGCGGCUGCAUGGAAUGCCUAGAACCAUUGUAUCUAAUCGUGAUGUCAAGUUUGUGAGCUAUUUUUGGAAAACAUUAUGGGCAAAGCUCAGAACCAAGCUUUUGUUCUUCACCACUUGUCACCCUCAAACUGAUGGACACACUGAAGUGGUGAAUCGCACAUUGUCAAUGUUGCUGCGAACUAUGGUGAAAAGGAACCUGAAGGUUUGGAAGGAAUGCUUGCCACAUGUGGAGUUUGCAUAUAACAGGGCAGUACACUCUACCACUAAUAUGUGUCCUUUUGAAAUUGUAUAUAGGUUCAAACCUAUUGCUCCGAUAGAUUUGUUGCCCCUUCCAUUGCAGGAAAGAACCAAUGUGGAAGCCUCCAAGCGUGCUGUAUACAUCAAGAAGGUACACAAGAAGACCAAGGAAGCAAUUGAACUCAAGGCAGGACGCAAGGCUACAAGUAUGAACAAACAUAGGAAGAAGGUGUUAUUUGAACCCGGGGACUUGGUGUGGAUACACUUGCGCAAGGAUCGCUUUCCUCUGCAGUGCAAAUCAAAAUUGCUACCACGAGGAGAUGGUCCAUUUCAUGUUCUUGAGAAGAUCAAUGACAAUGCAUACAAGAUUGAUCUUCCUACAAGUUAUGGCGUGAGCAACUCCUUCAAUGUUGUUGAUCUCUCACCAUUCACAAAUGAAGACACUUUAGAGUCGAGGACGACUUGUUUUCAAGGGGGGGAGGAUGAUAUGACCACGCCACCAAGCAAGAUGUCACAAGCUCCAAGUCAAGCUACACCCACUCAAGUUUCACCUACACCGACACCAGCCCAAGUCAUCGAUGGACCGAUUACACGUAGUCGUGCAAAGAAGCUAUAACAAGAGGUCCACGCGCUACUUUGUGAGAUUCAUUUUAACAUUAAUGAGAAUUAUAUACUACCUAAGUGUUGUACCUUGAUUGUACUCAGGUAUAUAGAAGAAGAGAAUGAUGAAUCGGACCUGAAGAACGGACCAGUGCAAGUUCCAGAAGAAGUCAAAAACGGACCAGUGGAAGUCAAAAACGGACCAGUGCAAAGAAAUUUUCAUAACUUUUAACUCACAAAAGCUAUGAACAUCCAAGAGCACUAGUUGGAAAGCUUGACAAGUCUACUUUCCAAUGAAUCUAGUGGCGACCAGUUUGGAUACUCCAUAUUGCCUGUAGACCAGAAUUAGUACAGACUGCUUAGAAGGUCAACAGUCUGUCGUGAUAGAAUGUUGGUACAACUUGCCAAGUAAAACUGUACCAAUCUACAACGUUUCCUACUGGUUGGCAUACAUUUCUGGAAAUCUCUUUGAGUCUAGUUUCACACCCAAGAAACGGUUCAUCAUUUGGACUUCCAAAUAAAAAGGUUCAUCAUUUGGACUUCCGAAUAAAAAGUUGUGGUCAGUUUAUUAGAAACUGCUCUAGAGGCCAACAGUCACGCGAAGCCACUUCGAGAAUCCAUUUCGAUGGGACCUUUCACAUUGCCUUCCCUCAGAAACUCUAUUUUGUUUUCAUACCUGUCUAGCAGGGCUGUUGCUAGUAUAAAUACCCCCUAAGACUCAUUGUAAUCUCAGACUUUUGAGAAUUGAAAUACAGAACCCCUUUUGUUUAGCUGUGUGCUAGCAAAUAUUCAGAGAGUGAUCUCUACCCCUUUGCUCUUGUGAUUUCCUCACGGGAUUACAUAGGCGGCGGCUUCAUCCGCUCCCAAUUGGUGCUCCUACUCCCUUCAAGGUAUUCCUUGAUUGAUUGUAGGCUGUGUUGGUUGGUUCUUUGAGAGUGUGGUUGGGCGAAUCCUCGAUUCACGUUGCCGGUUAAAGACGGUGGUUGGCUUUGAGUUUUAUUUGCCAGGUUGCACUAGUUAUCGCUGCUUGCAGCAAGUUAUCCGGCUGUUCUUUAGCUCGUUAUCGGUGUUCUUCCUACGUCAUGAAGAUCGGGACAACGUGUCGCAUCAAGGACACAUUUUGAGAAAUAUGGAGGAUUUUUCAACUCCCAGACUCUACCAAGUGAAGGAAGUGGAUCUACGAGCACAAACACACUGAGCAAGAUACUGCCAAUGCCGCACCUCAAACUGCUAGACAAACGAAAAACAUGGGUGACACCGUAUCAAGAGGUGCAAAUGUCAAGGCCUACACCUAAUCAAAUGAUGCACCUAAAGGAUGAACACGGUGAGAAGUCUUGUCCAGAAGACUUAAAACAUUGAAUCCUUGCCGGAAGGUAAAAUCGGUAUUUAUCCAUAUUUAUCUUUUCUGCAUUCCUUUUCCUUUUUAUUCCAUCACUUGCAUUAACAUAUUUACUUUUCCACAUUAGCAUUAGAAAAGAAAACAAAAAUAUUUGUUCGUUGCACUGCAUCAUAAAAUUUAAAGCCCCAUGUGAGUAGACUUGUGGUUUAAAACCCAUAGGUAUAUUGACUGUGGUGGCAUAAAAUAAAUAUGUUUUCAUCUUACAAUAAAAAUAUAAAAAUAAUAAGUGCAUGAUCCUGCUAAAUAAAUAAAAUUUAUUAGGAGGAAUCUCAAUAUGAUAAAGGCUAAGAGAUUUUAUGCUAACACUUAACCAGUUCUAAAAAGCUUUGUUGUCUAUUUGAGCUCCACAGAAUUAAAGGAUCAAAGAAGACUAGCCGGCGGAGGACAUAGUAAUCGCUGUCAGGGUGUUGCCGACAUUCAAAUACACCUCCGUCACCUGCUAGCUACAUCAGAAGAAAUUACGUCAAAAUCCAGCUUAGGGGAGAGUGCCUCCAUUUAUCCAGCUAAGUGUUUCUACUCACGUUUAUACUUUACUCAAAUAAUAAAAAGAUGCAUAAUCAUGAAAACCCAAAUAAAAUUUUUGUGUUUAUAUAUAUCUUUGCUUAGUUUGCUAAAUAAAUAAAUAAAUAAAGUGUCUAGGCCAAACUGAACUUAAAAGAUAAACUCUUACAUGGAUAUGAUAAUAGUUGCUCUGCCAUGUACCUAGUUUUCAAGUUUGAGCCCUCUCUCAAGUUUAGGCAUAACUGUUAUAAUUUAAACCUGCUCUAAACCUGAACUUGUGGGAAGAGUACUUGAUCUAAAGUCUAAGUUGUUAACGGAUAUGAUAUGGGAAGGUUGAGCUGCUGUUUAUCUGUUCCUAGAGAUGCUAGAAUUCUGGAGAAUUUUAUCUUUGAAAAUCUUUAAAAUAUUGCAUGAUGAGUUCCUGUAUGAUGAGAGUUUAAAUUCCUACCACAGCCAUAUAUACAUGCUUACUAGACUUUGAGCCACACAUUUACUUUUUACUGCUUAUGAGCAUUGAGUGUGGUCAAGCUGUGUAGACCCUUAGGAGGUUUUCAUGCGGUUAAAAUCAAGAUUCACUUGCACGUUCACUCAUACAUGCUAGUUCUACUCCGGAAGUACGCAUCCACAUACAUCCACUCAAUUCCAUCUCGAGAGCCACCCAAAAGUAUUCUACUCCUAAUCCGGGAGAGAAUAGCCAAAAACAUUCUCCUAUUUCUAUUUUUCCAUGUGAAAUAAAUGCUCAAGUUAUCUUGGUUACUACCACUUGCUAUAUUAUUUCAGGAUAUGAGUGCUCUAAAAAAGAAAGAAAAAAAGGAGAGAAAGAAUACGAGAAAAUAAAAAGGGGCAAGUGCCCGGAACCUCGAAAGAAAAGAAAAAGUGAGACGAGAGGUAAAAAUGGACAAGUGUCCGAUAGUAGAAUUAGGGGUACAAGAUACCCACCUGAGAGGAAAGAAAAAGAAAAUGUAGAGCAUCUCAUUCUCCUCAAAAAGCUUCAAAGUGCAAGAAAGGUAUGUAUCCCCUAAAAAGAGCAAAAGUAGAAUUAGACUUUCACCAUUGUUAUCACCAUCAUCACCAUACACCAUUCACUCGCAACACAUGCACAUCUUGAUUUGACUUAUUGACUUGAUUCUCUGGAUCCAUGGUUUGACUAUGCAAUAAAUGUUUUGUAAGUAUGUAUUAUCUGUCUCCGACCUAUGAGCUCCAGAUUUCAAAACCUUAUUAGAGUAGGGUGAGAGAGAAGGCAAUAUCACUAUUCCUCAUACCAAAAAUACCACAUACUUUGAGAGAAGGCAUAUACCAUUACUGCCUUGGAAAGGAUCCAGAAAUACCACAAAAGAGAGAUUUGAGAGAGUCAUACAAGGAAUCUCUGAGUUUUAUUUAAAAAUCUGCAAAAACUCCAGAGCUAUAGUUAAUCAAAGAACAAGAGACAUGGCGCUUGACUAGACUGUUCUAUCUUUUAACUCCUCAAGACACAAGUGACGGUUGCAAGCCCCAUGGUGAAAGGGAAAAUGAGUAAGUUUUAAGUCUUAACAGUUUAUUCUAACUCAGAGAUGAGAUCUUGCUUGAAUGCAUGUGUACUUUUAAGGCAUGAAACCACUACAGAAACUCUUGAGUCUAUCCUUGCUCAGGGACGAGCAAGAGGUAAGCUUAGGGGAGUUGUUGACGGUCCUUAAGUACCAAAUAUAAUCAUAAAAUAAAUAAAGAAAAGGAUCCAAAUGCAACCAACACCUAGACUUAGGGUUUUAUCUGACAGAAUUCCACGAGUUUUGGUGUUUGUCUAUUUCUGCAGGGGGUUAGCAGGAAAUAUGGAGGAAAGGCCCACAUCCACAUGUCAGAUUUACAUAGAGAUAUUAACAUGCCGCGCAAUUUUCUAUCAUCUAGAAGACUCCAGAAGCCACGGGAACAAACGGGAGGCCGAGCGAGCCCGGGGGCAGGGCACCCGCCCUCCCCCCUUGGGCGCCCGCCCUGCUAUAGAGGCCAAUCAGGUCCCGUCUCGUGGAUUAUGCUCCACCGACCUAAAGGAUCAAGGAGAACCGUUCAAUCAAUGUCGGUUUGAUCCGACGGCCCAUGUUCACUUGAGGGGACUAUAUAAGCAGGCCCCCUGGCCCCUGGAGGAGGGCAAUCCCAUUAUUCAUUAGCAUAUUUUCCAGAGAGGAUUCAGAAAGAGAGGUUCCUUAGGGUUCCCACCUCAUAGGGCUUAGCAUCCAAUGUGAGAGUAGAACUAGUUCUACUAGAUUGAGAGAGAUAGAGUGGAGGUGUAGAUCGGAGGAAGCCCGGCCUGUCGGUGUCUACUCCGAGGUUGUACCUGCGGGAUCAAGUCUCCUAACCUGAGGCUUGCUCCUAGGAUUGUUUAGUAUUUCGACUUCUAAAUUCUAGUAAGUUCUUGUUCGUAUUGUUCUUUGGUUUAUGAGUUUACUUUAAUCUCUUCCGGUUGAGUUUAGAGUAAUCAUUGCUAGCGUAAACGUGGUGUUUGGGCUAAGGUACUCAUAGAUAUCCCAUGUCUAGCCGGACCGUGGUAGUAGCGAGGAACGUGACAUUUCCGAGUUACCUUUGUAGCCCAUAUCCCGUUAGCAGGAUCAAUAGGGUUUAUAGGUGCGGGUCGAACACCCUUUGUGGUGUCUAGAUUCCGUAAGCCUCCCAAAUAGAACGGAAGAUCAUCCUUACCAAGGUUAGAACGAGAGUGCGGUUGUAGUCUUCUCUAUACAUCGCUCACAUCGAAUCACAUUGUUUGUAGCCUAAAGGGUAGUAGCAAUAGAUUUAGUUAGUCAGAUGCACGCUUUCUCCCAGUGGUAAAAAUAUAAAUACGAUACUCUGAAUAACCUCCCGGGUGAAAUGCUCACCGAUAUCCGUGCGCUUGCGGAUCAUUUCCUGAUGACAUUACCAAAUAUCAACAACUAUGCACUCGUAACUUGGUGGUAAACUGUGAGGCAGCUUCCUUGACUACAGAUGUAGAGAAGCCUCCGGAUCCACUAACAACACCUUCUUCCGAAAGCAUCCAGAUUAAGAAAGUUGGAGAACAACACGUGUUCCUGUACUUAUCUGGUGGCGCAAUGGAGUCGGAUGGGCAUCUGAACUCCAGAGUUUCGCGGCGUCCCAAUUGUGGGAGGCAAUUGUGUGAGUUCAUUUGUAUGAAGUGUAUCAAUUACUGGUUGGAUCACGCUGAUCGAUUCAUUUGAACUCUAUAUGUGAUAAUAAGUUGACGACCUUUGCAGAUUCUAAUGUAAAGAUGGCGGGCCAUCAGAGCGGUGAGCUGUGUGCAAGGGAUUUAGUGAUUUUUGGUUUGGAAGACAGAUCUGGAGCAACAACAGGGUUUGCAUGAGUAACAGAUUGCUCAGAUGUGUCGGUGAGGAAGACGAAUUGCGCUGGCAAGAAGAAGAAUCCAGUAUGUAUUCAGGCAAGGUGCUUAAUCAAAGCAGUACACGACAUUAUUUCUAGAUUUGAUACUAAGAAGAGAAAACUAGUUGAAUCAAUACGAUUUGGUGGCCUUCUAAUGGAGGCGGUGACUGCUGAGAAAUGGAUUGAGGAUAUCCAAGGUGAUCUUUCUGUUGAAGCUUUGUUGGAUUUUCUAGAAUUGUCGAAUUUAAUUUCGAAUGUUGAACUGCAUGGUGGGAUACACGACAAGCACAUUUGGAAAUUUUCGGCUUAAGGAGAAUAUACAGCAAAGUCGGCAUAUGAUGCACUCUUCCAGGGCUCCAUUCAUUUCAGAUCAUAUGAGAGAAUUUGGAAGUUGUGGGCUCCUCCCAAAUGUUGAUUCUUCAUGUGGCUGGUCUCCCAUGACCGGUGUUGGACUGCUGAUAGGCUUGCUCGGCGAGGUCUCCCCCACCCGGACAAAUGCUUGCUUUGUGACCAGGAACAGGAAAACAUUCAUCACCUCCUGAUUGGGUGCGUUUUCGCUAGGCAGUUCUGGUUUUCCCUCUUGGAGCGUGUUGGUCUCUCCUCUCUAACACCUCAGCCCGAUGAUUCAUCUUGGGAGGACUUGUGGGGAAAAGAUGAAGCCGCUACCACUGGGGAUGUAAGAAAAGGCUUAAACUCCAUCAUCAUCCUUGGAGCCUGGAGCAUCUGGAAACAUUGUAAUGACUGUGUCUUGAAUGGGGCUGAUCCAAACAUUACCGCAGCCCUAAGUAUGGCUAGAAAUGAAGCCCACUGGUGGUGCUUGUCAGCAGCAAAGGGUCUCUCCUUGCUCACGGCAUGGGGCUCCUAGUUCUUUAGCCAGUGUUGGGCAUUCUUAACGUCACUACCAAAAGUAGACUUAGUUUUCUAAUUCUGAUAACGGCGCCAAAAAUGCCAAACCUAUCCCUCAUACCACUUAAGCCAAGUUGUCAUCCCCAGCAUGACAUGAGAGACGCGGUAUUGAAAUAUACAAUUGCUCUUCUAAAUAAAUAAUAAAUGGGAUCUGCAAGCGCACAGAUUAAUACCGAUGUAGCAUUUUAACCGGGAAGUAUUCCAGGUAUCGUUAUUUAUAUUUUUACCACUAGGAAGGGAUUGCUAAACAUCAAUGUUGAUUAUAGAAUGAAAUAUAGAAUUGAGUAUCUAUCAUUGCAUAUAUAAUUGAGAACAUUUAUCUAUCUCUUUCAUACAGGGAUAAGUGUCACAUGAAAGAUAUAUAAAGUAUGAAUGGUGACAAAGAUAAUUAAUCUGAUCAGCAUAACUUAGCCACAUAAUAAAUAUGAUAAGCACCUCAAUUAGAUAUUCUAGCAAGUCAUUAGCAUGAAAUUAGAACGAACUACAAGAAUAUUUCCUAAGUUAUUCUCAACUAUACAGUCUAGCAUAUCAUAGUUAGUGCAAUUAUACUUGGCAAUCAUUGCGAGACAGGACUACGUCCAUGCAUAGUGAUAUUAUCAAGGAAUAUGAGAAACAUCGCAAUUACUCCCCUGUAAUAAUGUUGCUCUACCAGCCCAAUACACGAGAGGGGGACUAUAUAAGAAUCAAUGGUGCUGUCACUACCACGAACUACCCCGCGGUCUGGCAUAUAGGGUACAAUCGUAGAUAAAUACGGUAUAGGCACCACGCCUACACAAUACUUAUCAUUUACCCACUGUACACAUGGAUAAAUGCUAUACGAUCCUAAACAUGUAUAUAAUUCCAAUCUAACUAAGCCAAGUAUAUAACUAUGAUAAACUAAGAACAAUAUAAUUGCGAAUAUAAACAAGUAGAGCAAAGUCAUAAUCAAUAUAUUGAAGUAGAACAAAGUCAUAAUCAUAAUAUUGAAGAACAAAGAUGAACAAUUGAAGAACAAUAGAGGAAUUACCAAGAAUCCUCUUGACAGAUUCGGAAACCAAUCGAAGAUUGACUCCUUCUAGUUCUAAUCCUAUGUAGCUAUGCUAAUCUAGAGAUCUAAUUGAUGUGGUGGCUCUAGGGCUUGAUCAGAGGCUUCUUCUCCCAAGAUGAAUAAUGAAUUAGGGUUGACAGUCUCUCUCCUCCAGGGGCUAGUGGGUCUGGUUAUAUAGUCCUUCCAAGUGAAUAUGGGCCGUCGGAUCAAACCGACAUUGAUUGAACGGUUAUCCUUGAUCCUUUAGGUCGGUGGAGCAUAAUCUGCGAGAUUGGCUGUAAUUGGCCUCAAGGCCAGGGCGGGCGCCCAAGGGGGAGGGCGGGCGCCCUGCCCCCGAGCCCGUCCGAUCUCCCGUUUGUUCCCGUUGCUUCUGGACUCUUCUAGAUGUUAGAUAAUUGCGCGGCACGUUAAUAUCUCUAUGUAAUCCCGACGUGUGGGCCUUUCUUCCGUAUUUUCUGAUAACCCCUUGCAGAAAUAGACAAACACCAAAACUCGUGGAAUUCUGUGAGAUAAAACCCUAAGUCUGGAUGUCGGUUGCAUUUGGAUCCUUUUCUUUAUUUAUUUGAUAAUUAAAUUUGAUACUUAAGGACCGUCAACAGCCUGCUCGGUCGAUGUUUCCUUAGAUUCUGACGCUUAAGUCUUAGUGAUCAGGGUUGGCAUAGAUAUGUGUGUGGAUGUGUGUGUUUUUCUAUUUGUGUGUGUGUCUAUGUAUGACUCCUCUUCCUUCUUUUAAUGCAAUGAUACUCAGCUCUCCUGCGUGUUCGAGAAAAAAAAAUUUCCCUAGAUAAAGUCUACAAAUAGACGGUUCUCCGCAUGGUUGAUGGGAUUGGUUAAUGUGAGAAAUUCAUGCUUACAAUUGCUUGAUGGGACCACCUUGAAAUUCUACAGUGAAGAUAUAGGGCUUGUGUUCGGCAUUCCCUCAGGGGGAAGAAGGUAAGCGAAGCUGGUCAACGGACAAGGAGAGAAUGAAACUUCGGUGCUGGCCAUUAAUAGGAAAAGAUCAACAUAGUAUAAAGGUAGUUGAAGAACUAGUCAGUACUACUUACAUAGAUAGUAUGACACCUGAGAAAGAAGAUGCUUUCAGAGUUGCUUUUGUGGUAUUUGUGAUGUCAACUCUGUUCGUCCCAGGGGCAAAACAUGAUUAUGUCCAUGUGGACUACUAGGGUGCCCGAACCAACCCAAAUACUAUCCAUGAGUUCGACUGGGCUGCCUAUGUAUAUAAACGAUUACUAGCAGCAGCUGCAAAGUUUAAGGCAGACAUCAAGACAGGGAGCAGAUCACCAAAUAUAACUGGAUGCUACCUAUUCCUUCAGCUAAUUAUUCAACUAGGAAUAGCAAUUGUGGUCAAUUUUGAAACACUACGACUUUUUUUUGGAACUAACCAGUAUUUUUUAAUCUUCACAAUGUCCAUAUAUACAGUUGUUCUACCUAGACAACAUUGAGCUUUGCAAGUGGGGACUUGAUCAUUCUGUGCUUCCAAGGAUUUCUUGUUUCACAUAUGAUAGAAUACGGAGUAUGGUCGCAGCUGACACACAAGAUAAGAUUCCAGGAGAAACUAGGUGUUUGUUUGGGAAAUCAAAGGUUAGAUAAUGAAAAAAGAAUGUUUUCCAUGAGAAAUAAAAAAGAAAUCAACUUUGGUGCCAAACAACUAAUUAGAUAAUGAAAAAAGAAUGUUUUCCAUGAGAAAUAAAAAAGAAAUCAACUUUGGUGCUAAACAACUAAUUCUAUAUGAUUGUAGGUAAGACAACGGGAGCACUCAUGCUACACAUGGGCAACUGGCAAUGUGGGUGAGCACGUAGUUGAUGAAAAAGGGACUCAAGUAUCAUUGUGGCAUGCUGUCAGAAACCCUGCUCCGACUGCACCUAGACACAACGGCGACAAGAACAUCGACGUCCACACUCAAGUGCACGACGUUGCCCAGGAAAGCUUCAAUGGGCCAGAAGCCAGGCGUGGCACCAGGAAGCGGAGGCCCAGUACAAGAAUCCAGGGUCCAGAGUGGAAGUAGAAGCCAGCUGUAAGAGAGUGCCGUGAGCCGGUAGCUUAAGUAUUGGUUGGCUGGGAGAGAAGGCAGAUGAAAAACAAGAACAACUCUGUAAUAUUAUUGCCACUCCUCUGUUCUAUGAGAUUCAUCCUCUGUUCUACGAGAUUCAUCUGAACCUAUCCUUGUUGCUGUGCUUCCUAUCUUGUUCUAAUCCGUUUCACAGCUUACAUCUGGUAUCAAAGACAGUCUAUCCUUUCCGCUCUCCUUCUGUUUAUCCUGUGCGUUUCGUUGAUCGGUUGCAACAGCCCCGGGUUCGAGAUUGGAUCGAGUUGCUCGAUCUUUGAUCUCUGUAAUUCCCAGCACGCCACUGGUCCGAUUCGCAAUCUGCGCUGGAGUACACUUCCCAGCGCACUCCACCACCGCCGCCGCCGCCGCCACACCCCUACUACACGCGCUUCGCUCGCCGACGCGACGCGAUGAAUCCUGAUUCGAAGAUGCUGCUCGACGAGAUGCACCGGCUGUUCCAGGAGUCUGACCGCAAGUGGGAUGCGCGUUUCGCGGAUGCGGACCGCAAGUGGGACGCGCGCUUCGCGGAAUGCAGCUGUGAUCUGGAGCAGCGUCUCGGCGACAUUGACGAAUCCAUCAUCAAGCGUUUCUCCGAUGCCGACGACGCCCUCACCACGCGCUUCGCCGAGUCCGACCUCAACUGGGAGCGGCGCAUCACUGAUUCGGAGAUCCGCCAAGCGGAGCUCGUCGUUGCGGCUGAGCUGCGACAGGAGGCGCGCCUCACCGCCGUUGUCAAGGCCACCGGAUCUCUGGAGUCCUGGCGCCAGGAGUCUGAGGGAGCGGUGGAUGAUCUCAAGUUGAAGAUGAGCAAGCUCACGAAGUACAUGGAUCGCUCCGUCAUCGACAACCCCUCUGCGUCGAUUGGCGUGAUCUCAUCGGCUCCAUCGUCUGUUGAGCACGCCGCCGCGCACACACCUGCGGACUACUCGGCUGCUCGGCCCAGCGGGCACGGCGUCCUUCCGACUACACGGGUGGAUGGACUUGGGGAAAUUUUCUCCCAAAUCCAUUCCCCGGCCAAUGGUAUGCAUGUCAACCCGCAACAUCCCUUACCUGUUCAUGCAUUCCAUUCCAACAAUGUCAUCUAUGAGGAAAACCAACCCAAUUCCCAUCGCUUACCCAAAUUCAAUUUCCCUACCUAUGAUGGUGACACUACUAAAUUGUGGAUUUCCCAAGCCGAGGAUUAUUUUGAUAUGUAUGGAGUUCCACCACGGUUGUGGGUCAGAGUUGCCGGUAUGCACUUUAAUGGUGCUGCCAAGCGCUGGAUUCAGUCCUUAGACCGCCCAAGUCACCUAAUACCUUGGACUGAAUUUUGUCAGCUCCUACUGGAUCGCUUUGCACGCAAUCAGCACGAAACCUUCCUUCGUCAAAUGUUUCACAUCUCCCAGUCUACAACUGUCAUUGAUUAUGUGGAACGUUUCUCCUCUCUAGUUGAUCAACUGAAAGCCUACACUAAAACUCCAGAUAUGCAUACCUAUGUUACUCGCUUUGUCGAUGGUCUUCGCUCUGACAUUCGUGUUGUUGUUGCUAUGCAACGUCCACCAAACCUCGAUACUGCGUAUUCGUUGGCAUUGUUGCAGGAGGAGGUGUCGGCGCCGCCGCCCAAGAGUGACUAUCCCCGGUUUGGCAACACCUCGGGAUUCAAGAACCAUCUGAAGAAUGCCUUACCGCUACCUCGUCCACCGCAUGCAGACAAGCCUCCAGAGCCUGCUGCAGUCCUGCCCAAGGUCACUCCAGUUGCUGCUGACAAACUUUCAGAACUGCGACAGUUUCGCCGAGCUCAGGGACUGUGUGACCGUUGUGCAGAAAAGUGGUUUAGGGGACACAAAUGUCCUCCAACUAUUCAGCUCCAUGUUAUGCAGGAAUUGUGGGAUCUCCUUGCUAGUGAAGAGGAGCUGCCUGAACAAGCUGAAGAUACCUCUGAACAGUUGUUGCUGGCCUUGUCCCCUGAUGCUCGGAUGGGAUCCAAUGGGCCUCGAACGAUUCAGUUCCAUGGCACUAUUCAUGGUAAGGCAAUCGUAGUCUUAGUUGACUCUGGCAGUUCGGCAUCAUUUUUAGCCGCUUCUGUAGCUGAUCAACUUCCACAGCUCCAGCGUUCCCCAUUGAGAGCCUCUGUCAAGAUUGCCAAUGGUCAGUUGAUGAGUUGUGAUUCCGCAAUUCUGGGUUGUCAGUUGCUUCUGGAUGGUCAUCUAUUUCAACAUGAUCUACGUAUUCUCCAUCUCGAUUCAUAUGACUUGAUUUUGGGCAUGGACUGGCUUGAGUUGUACAGCCCCAUGCAAAUUCAUUGGCAAGCUAAGUGGAUCUCUCUGCCACACAAUGAAACAACGGUGCUGCUUCAAGGCCUGUCAGCACCAACUGACUCAGACUUGGUAUUCCAGCUAGUAGCUCAUGUUCCAGAGACUUCUCGGAAUGAUGCUGACCUGCCCGCGGAUAUCGCUGCCUUGCUGACCGAAUUUCCAUCAGUUUGUUCCACACCUACUACCUUACCACCGCCUCGGUCGUGUGAUCACCUAAUUCCCUUGGUCAGCGGUGCUACGCCAGUCAAUAUUCGAGCAUAUCGGUAUCCACCAACUCUGAAGGAUGAAAUUGAGCGGCAGGUUCAAGAUAUGUUGGAUAAGGGUUUUAUUCAGCCGAGCUCAUCUCCUUUCUCAUCCCCAGUACUCUUGGUUCGCAAAAAAGACGGUUCAUGGCGUUUUUGUGUUGACUAUCGCUACCUCAAUGCCAUGACCAUCAAGUCGGUGUAUCCGAUUCCUGUAUUUGAUCAGCUGGUUGAUGAGCUCGGUACGGCCAAGUGGUUCUCUAUACUGGACUUACACUCUGGCUAUCAUCAGAUUCGCUUGCAACCCGGUGAAGAAUUCAAGACAGCAUUCUCCACUCAUGCUGGUCACUAUGAGUUUACUGUGGUGCCUUUCGGUCUGUCAGGGGCUCCAGGGACAUUCCAAGGGGCCAUGAAUACGACUCUCACCCCACUCCUGCGGAAAUGUGUGGUUGUAUUCUUCGACGAUAUAUUGGUGUACAGCAAUUCUUAUGAGGAGCACUUGCAACGCCUACAUCAGGUCCUGACCUUAUUAGCCAAAGAUCAGUGGAUUGUCAAGUUAAAAAAAUGUAAAUUCGCUCAACAGGAGAUUCGCUACCUCGGCCACAUCUUGAGUGCACAGGGGGUACACACUGACCCUGACAAAGUGGCUGCAGUUCUGAAUUGGCCACCACCAGCGAAUGUCCGUGAGCUCCGUGGCUUUCUAGGCUUGGCUGGCUUUUAUAGAAAGUUUGUGAAACAUUUUGCUAUUCUGGCCCGACCACUCACCGAUCUCCUUAAAAAGCACUCGCUCUUUGUGUGGACCUCAGAACAUCAAGCUGCCUUUCAAGCCCUGCAGCAGGCCCUUUGCUCGGCUCCUGUCCUUGGCAUUCCGGAUUUUUCCAAGCCCUUCGCCAUCGAGACUGAUGCUUGCCACAAUGGUGUCGGUGCUGUGCUUUUACAGUCUGGUCAUCCUCUGGCAUAUGUCAGCAAACCAUUGGGCAUAAAAACUCAAGGCCUUUCAACUUAUGAAAAAGAAUAUUUGGCAAUUUUGGUGGCCAUUGAGAAGUGGCGCUCAUACCUCCAGCUUGCUGAAUUUGAAAUCCAUACUGAUCAAAAAGCUCUCAUUCACUUAAAUGAUCAGAGGCUGCAUACAGUGUGGCAGCAAAAAGUUUUCACUAAACUCUUGGGCUUGCAUUAUAAACUUGUUUACAAGAAAGGUACUGAGAACAGCGUAGCCGAUGCUCUCUCCCGGCGUCAGCAUCCCCCUGAGUUAUGCUAUGCUCUUUCCAUAGUUACACCAUCCUGGUGCUCUGAUCUCCAAAAGAGUUAUCAGACCGACACUCAAGCGACUAUGCUGCUGACUAAAUUGGCUACUUCUCCAACAUCAGUACCCCACUUCUCCUUGGUAGAUGGCAUCCUUCGCUUCAAGGGCCGUAUUUGCGUGGGAAAUAAUUCAGUCUUGCAACAACAGUUGAUUCAGCAUAUGCACAGUUCUCCAGUGGGCGGUCACUCAGGCAUUCCUGCCACAGUUAAGCGCAUUCGAUCACUUUUCGCCUGGUCAGGACUACGGAAGCAUGUCACUGAGUUCGUCCAGAGCUGUUCAGUUUGCAAGCAAGCCAAACCUGAACGAGUUCGUUACCCAGGUCUCCUUCAGCCCCUUCAGACUCCAACGGCAGCUUGGCAGGUGAUAUCACUCGACUUUGUGGAAGGCCUACCUCAGUCCAACGGUUACAACUGCAUUUUGGUUGUCGUUGAUCUUUUCUCUAAGUAUAGUCAUUUUGUGGCUUUGAAGCAUCCUUUCACCGCUCUGUCAGUCGCUAAACUGUUCAUGGUGCACAUCUAUCGCCUUCAUGGUCUUCCUACAGCUAUGGUGUCGGAUCGUGACCGUAUCUUCACCAGCCAACUUUGGCGCGAGCUGUUUCGUUUGGCAGGUGUCGAACUCCGAAUGAGUUCGGCCUACCAUCCCCAGUCUGAUGGCCAGACCGAAAGGGUCAACCAAUGCAUGGAAACUUUUCUUCGCUGCUUCGCCAAUGCUACUCCUUCAAAGUGGUUCGACUGGUUACACUUAGCCGAGUUCUGGUAUAACACAACUUGGCACUCUUCCUUGCAACGAUCACCAUUCCAGGUGCUGUAUGGACAUUCGCCUCGCCAAUUGGGCAUUGAUUCUUCAGCAGCCUGUUCUGUGGACUCGAUUGAGGAGUGGAUGAAACAGAAAACAGAGAUGCAAGCACUGAUUCAGCAUCAUUUGGCUCGUGCCCAGAAUCGUAUGAAGCUUCAGGCUGACAAGAAACGCACAGAGCGUAUUUUCAAGGUUGGCGAUUGGGUAUACAUCAAGCUGCAACCUUACAUACAGACAUCUGUCGCCCCUCGAGCAAACCAGAAAUUGGCAUAUCGUUUCUUUGGCCCGUACAAGGUUCUGGAGAAGAUUGGAUCUGUAGCUUACAAAUUACAGCUGCCUCAAGAGUCCUCGAUCCAUCCAGUGUUCCAUGUAUCCCAACUGAAAGGUGCUAUCCCAAUUUCUCAUACUACUUCACCUUUGCCAGUAUCCUUCGCUGGUCUGCAGGUUCCAGAACGCAUUCUUCAGAAGCGUGUUGCUGCUGUUGGUUCGGAGGUGCGCCUCCAGGCCCUGAUCCAAUGGAGCGGCUUACCUUCGGCUCUAGCAACAUGGGAGGAUGUCGAGGCCCUUCGUCAGCGCUUCCCUCGAGCACCAGCUUGGGGGCAAGCUGGAUCCUAUCGGAGAGGGGAUAUCAGCAACCCUGCUCCGACUGCACCUAGACACAACGGCGACAAGAACAUCGACGUCCACACUCAAGUGCACGACGUCGCCCAGGAAAGCUUCAAUGGGCCAGAAGCCAGGCGUGGCACCAGGAAACGGAGGCCCAGUACAAGAAUCCAGGGUCCAGAGUGGAAGUAGAAGCCAGCUGUAAGAGAGUGCCGUGAGCCGGUAGCUUAAGUAUUGGUUGGCUGGGAGAGAAGGGAGAUGAAAAACAAGAACAACUCUGUAAUAUUAUUGCCACUCCUCUGUUCUACGAGAUUCAUCUGAACCUAUCCUUGUUGCUGUGCUUCCUAUCUUGUUCUAAUCCGUUUCACAGCUUACACAUGCUGUAGUUAGAAUGGCCAUAAUUCUUAGAGUGCCACUAGAGGUAAAAAAUUAAUGCAGUUUCAACUUGAGAUCAUAAUACUUCUUAUCAACAAAUUUUAUGCACAAAAUCUGAUUUUGUUUUAUUGGACGAUACGAAAAAGGUGACAGGUCCCCUUUUCCUCGCUGCAGCUGAGUUGCACAAAAAGAGUCAAAGCAACAACCCACAGUCUGGAAUAGAGUGCAUCAAUAUAUUGCUGGACAUAAUGGCACCAUUUGUCAAAGGUUUCAGAUACAACUGUGAUUUGGAGUGCAAAUCAACGGUGAGAUGCGCUAUUUUCCAAUGUUGUGCUAUCACAUAAGUACUAUAGCAAUUAUUGUUUUGACUUUAAAUACUGUAUCAAUAUUGAAUUCUCUUAAUUUGCUACUUUUCAUAUAACAGAUAGCACUAAAAAUAUUGUCAUCGAUGUACAAACAAUAAUGACACUGCAAAUGGGAAUGGCAAUAGGGGGAUAUCCAACAGGGUGAUGCAGCAUCGAGCUCAGGGUGUGUAAGGCCUGCACUACUAAAUUUUUACCCUAUUGCACUGCCUAAUUUUUGAUGUUAUAGGGCUAAAAUUGAUGCGAUAGCUCAGUAUCUCAUCAAUUUCUCGUUUGAUGGGAGCCGAUGCAAGUGGUCUUGAUGCAAUAUCCUUUCGCAUCGGUUUGUUGUGGCUGAUGUGAGAAGCAGCUAUUGCAUCGUCCAUCCGUUGUCUCUUGCAUCAAAAAUGAGAGAUGCAAUAGCUUAUUGCAUCAAAAUCAUACUGAUGCAAUACAUCAAUUGCAACAACUAACGUUGGGUGCAAUAGUGUAUAUUGCAUCAAUAUUAUGUUUGAUGCAAUAGAACCUAUUGCAUCACCAUUUUGGUUCGGUGCAAUAUGAACUAUUGCAUCGACUUUAUGUUCAAUGCAAUACAAACUAUUACAUCGACGUGAGGUUGGGUGCAAUACAAACUAUUACAACGACAUGAGCUUCGAUGCAAUACAAACUAUUGCAUCGACAUGAGGUUUGAUGCACAAGGAACUAUUGCAUCGAUAUGGUGUUUAUGGGAACAUAAUGAAUUAAUUGCACAAAAAUUCAUAAAAUUACAAAAUUCAAUGGCACAGAAAGGCAAUCAUAUUAAUAACUUGGAUCAUCAUCAUUCAAUAGUUUGUACAAUAUAAGAAAGUCAAAGGCCUUCCUACUUCAAAGAAGAUAAUUGCAAAGUUCAAACUGCAUUACAAACCACUAACUUAUGUUACAAAAAGGCAAUCAUAAACAAAAAUACAUGUCUCUUAGCAUAGGUGAACAUGACAUCUUUCUCGUUGCAUAAUAUUUGAUUCAAUUCAGCUUGCCAAGACUCCCUCAAUGUUGAUUGUCCUAAAAAAGUCAAAAUGACAUUCAUUAGUAAUAUAUAGUUGAUCACACAGUGGAACCAAAAAUAGACAGCUCAUAGCCCAUGCAAAAGAAAGGUUGUUCUGUACCAGAUAAAUGAAAGAAGAGAAUAGAUAUUCCAUCUUCCAUAUUAUAUCGUACAGAAACAUACAUGUAUAAGUGGACAAAGUUGAUGUCAAUAAUCUGGACAACAACUUAAGAUGACACCUGAUUCAUGUAUAAGAUUUCCAGCUCAUACCUUUCCUCCUUUCUUUCUUGUAUCUCGCUUUUUAUUUGCAGCACUAUUCCUCAAUGUUUGUGAUGUAAUAAAUCUCACUGACUCACUACUGCCUUUGUCAUUUGUGAAAAGUGAUCUGUUGGCAUUGCUGCCAGUUAGGCGACAAGGUGGGAUUCUCAUUUGUUUGGUCAAUAAUACACUGUCUGCUACGGUCUGCAAAAACCAGAAGAUUUGAAGGAGCAAUCACGACUUUAGCAUUUCUAUGAAUCUGUUAAACUAUAGGUAUACAUGCAGUAGUCAAGUAAAUAAAUCAUAACUAGAGAUUUACAAGUCCAAAUGACAUGCAGCAAGACAUUCUGGAAAUCUUAUGGAAUUGCCUACAUUUCAUCUUCAAUCAUACAAACAUUAUUCUCAAGUUUAACAGGUCGAAAUUACAUAAGUACAGAAAUCUAUCAUGUCAAGACAGAGAGCAACCAAACGUAUCACCUAACUUUGCACAGCUGUGGUAUGCAAACCAUAGGGUCAAUUACCAUGAACUUUUAGAAGCAGAUAGAUACAUGAAUUGUCUACAACUUUUGUAUUGACAUGUUUUUCAGAGAAUCAAAUUAACAUGGUGAAUUUUGCAAAGUUUUUAAAAUUGUCCCGAAAUACAAUCAAAACCAGACAACAAACUUAUUAAGCAUGUAACUCAUAAACCAUCAGACCUAGGAACAUGAAAAUUUAUCACAACCAAGAUAAGAUAAUUAUCUACAACUUUGGUAUUUAUUAAAACCAUAGAAAACAUCAUUUCCACCUCAAAAAUAAUUGCACAAUCAAAACUGCAUAUGCUGCCCAAACAGUAGAGGUACAAACAUAGACAAAAAACUGAUAUUACCUGUUGCACAUGUUCUGGUCCUUGGCUGGGGGUGGGAACAAUAGUUGGUCCAUUAGAAGGCUCAUUAUGUGUGGCCAGGGCAGUUUCUGUACCAGCCUUCAUAUUGAAAAAAAAAGAUGCACACAUGACCUCAAGAUUAAAUGUAUGUAUCCAAUACAUUGCAGGUUCCAUUUAUCAAAAAAUAAUACCUGUGCCAAAUCUGCAACUUCAUUUUCACUAACUUUAUUAUAAAUACUAGUAGUAGUAUUGGUAGUGAAUUCUUCAGGCUGAGGGGCUGUAGUGGUUGGUGCAGCAUUCUUGCAUUUGCGUUAUAAGGAGAAACAUUAGCACUGAAGCAUUGUUAAAAUACAUGAUAUUGCUUACAGUUGAGAAUUAGAAUUAUUACCAAAGGCGGUGCUUGAUUGUGUUGUUUGAUUAGCAAAAAAACUCUUGCCUUAGUUCUUCUCUAAUCUUGUUGCCUGUACUCUCCAGUUGUUGUUCUAGCUGCUGAAUUUUUUCCUUGUCUUUCUCCCUCUCUGCGGCUUCAAUGGAAAGCUGUUCUUUUAACUUCUGUACCUCAGCUUGCAUCUCAGUAUUCUUCUGUUGGGCUGCUGCUGCUUAUGCAGCUGCAUGAGCUUGCUCUUCAAUUCGUUCAUUCAUCAGUUGGCUUCGGGUCGGAUACUUUGCCAAGUAUCCAUGUCCAGGACCUUUCAUGCUCUUGCAUCCAGCGGUUUCCUUGUAGGUUUCACGAAGAAUGUGCCUUUCUUGUUCCUUUGAAAUCAUAGAAGCGUCCAACUCAAUUCUCUCUACAAUUUUGGAGAAGGUGCUUUCCUAAAAUUAAGAACACAGUUAGUGUUUUUAGCUUUAGCAAGUAGCAAUAGGAGUUGCAGUUCAAGUAAAAUAAGAAUUAGGUAAAAUGGAUACUUUGGAAAUUGAACUAUAUCAAUUAGAUUCAUGUACUACUUACUUCCUCUAAACAUCGAAGUCCAUGUUAAUCAUGGAAAUAUGUUUGCUUAGCAAAGCAUGUUGAGAGCUAAAAAGCAAUGGACAGUUGAGCACUAGCAUUUUAAAGAAUUAUAUCACAUUCAAGAGAUAACGAACACAAGGACAAAGAGAGGACUGAACACAAGUUUGAGGAUAGAUAACUAUAUCAUUCACGUAACAUAUUUACAGCAGAAAAAAACUUGUUCAGAUAACUCAUGAGUUAACUAUAUGACAUGUAUAGUAACGAACAAAGUAGUACUUACAUAUAUUUCCUUAGCAGCAUCAGAAGAUCAUCGACCUUCCUUGCUGCGUGUACUCCUCCAAAGUGCCAAAUCAUCUGGCUUAUCACCAGUCUCUAGGUUUCUCUGAUAUGAGAAAAUUGAAUAAUGUAACUGUUUAGGUAAAAAAUAAGAUUAGGUAACAUAUCCUUACCUGCUCAUAACUAACUUGUGAAAAAGGUUUUGAUCCUGUAAGAUGUAGUGUCUGUCGAUGCUGAGAAUUGCUAGAGUUUGUGUUGCUUAUUCGCUAAUAUAAACACAGAUAUGUUAGUUGCACUAAAAAAAUACAGAAAAUAAUGACAUAUAUGUCAGAGGUCUGGAACCUGAAAUUUGUCACUUCCAAAAUAUAACACGAAGUAGUGCCACUCGACAAUGUCCAAAUCUUCUGGCUUAUAACUCAUUCUUUGAUGGUAACUAUUGUAUGCCUUGUACGUGGAACUCAAUUGAGCUCGCCAUCCUCUGUAAUGCUCCUUUGCAAUCUUCCAUAUCCUAGCCUUCUCAACAUCAUUAUUUUCAAUGUUCCACCUAACCUUCUCAUGACCAACAAAUUGUGAACAAUUUAGAUAUUAGAAAGAAUUAAUUUAGCAUAUGCGGGAGGAAGACUGUAACAUACCAUUAUAUCUCGUGCUAUUUUAUCUUUAACAUUUUGAUCUACAUCUCCCCACUUUUGAACUCCAAUAUGUGGAGUCCUUUUCCUUGUAAACUUUACUAUUUCAUCAAUAAACGCGCGAUAGUUUUCUCCUAUAGGGCCGCCUUGCGUGGAUGAGAAAUCUAUACUAAGUUUAUGACUACCAAGUUUAAAUCUCUUAGCAUCGACCGAUAAACCUUUAACGGUUCCACGCCCAAUCUUUCUCUUGUCGCCAACCCCUACAAUAAAAAUGAUAUUAUAAAAUUGAACGUUUGUAAACAUUAAAAAUCAGCAUUUUUAUAUUAUAGUAUUGUCUGAACACUCUGGACCAUUGCAUACCUUUCUGAGAGGCCUUUGGCCUGCGAGCAUGAGAUGGAAACUGCAUUGGUGUUACGCUGUUGUCACCACUUCCAUCUUCUUCAAUGGUUUCAUCAUCUAAAAAUCCAUCUGCACAUACAAACAAGUGAAAGUACACACUUACAAUGGAGUUGGAAAUAUAUACAUCAAGUUGUACUAGUGCUAAGAUAAUUCAAAUUCAGAUUACGAAUAUCUUGAAGAAGCCCAUUCUGCCUCAACCAUUCUCUAUAUGUUGCAACAGUAUUCAGCCGGGUGUCAUCCUUAAAUUCUGCGAAAUACAUAUAGAUGUUAUAUAUGUAGUGUGAGUUUUAGAACAAUACCUAAAGUUCAUUUAGAUGUAUUUUUCUAGUACAUUAUUACCUAGAUUGUUUUCAUCCUGUGGCAGCUCCUGAAGCCACACCUUGUAUGCAUCAAUGUCUUCAUCCUGAAUUCCAUUUCCACUAACUUUCUCAUGUGUACUACGUUGCUUAAUGGGUGUAAUUGAAUAUUGUCCUUCUCGAUCUUGCUGAGUUGUUGAAACUGCUAACCUAACUAUAUUUUCUUCUAAACAAUCUUCUAUCAUUGCUAAUGCAUCUUCUUCGUAAUCUAUAGGCAGCAGCAAAGCUCUAUCGUUGCCACAUCUCUUGAAAAAGUACAUGAAGUCCCUCGAAGAAUAACCCAUCUUAACUUUGAACUUUAAUAAAUUGGCAAAGGUGACUCUAGCACGGUCAAUGUCCAAUAUGGCACGACUCUGGUCCUUGGGCCCCCUGAGAAAUCAAUAAGUACUUGCCAAAUAUCUCCCAUUUUCCUACAGAAAAAAUAUUUUAACUCAACAUAAGUUCAGGAAAUACAGUGAAUGCCAUGGCCUUGUUUGGUUCAGGAAGUAGUUAUAAUAGGUCGCAAACACAUGUUAAGUUACAGACAAUAAUAAUCAGUAUUUGAGAAUGAUAUGUAGACGCCACUAAAAAAUGAUGAUAACAUCCAGAAACACUUGUUAAUUGAAUAUAAUAAUUAUCAAUAUACUGGUGUGCUGCAUCAAGCUGCUCGGCAGAGUGAAGUCUUGAAAACAAAAUUAUUUUCGAAACUAAAAUGUUCAAUAUGCAUCCACAAACAAAGGUAAAAUAUUAAUCUUUGCAGCAACUAAGCUUUUGAAUGCCAACUCCAUGAGCAACCAUCCCCAUGCCCCCUAUAUCUAUCGUGACCUGCAAAUUUAAUUUUAGAAUACUCCAACUCAUUCAGAAAUCAAUGGCACUUCAAGAAUAACAAACCCAUGGCAGCUAAUUUCUAUCAGCUAAUUCAGAGGUUAAAUCUGAGGUUAUUGCCGACUCAAGAAACAAUUAGCAAUUGCCUUUUAAGACAUAGAAGGGAGUAAUUCAUGAGUAACUCAAGAAAUAAUUAGCAAUUAGCAAUUUGGAAUUAGGAAUUUUGGGAUUUUACGAGAACCUCUUGCUGGACCUGGACGUAGGAGAUGGGGAUCUCAUGGACGGAGGAGACGGCGAGGACGGUGGAGUCGGCAACCUCGUGGUGGACGGCCUCCGCGGUGGUGGUGGCGACGUCGAGCUCCUGGUGAACGGCCGCUGCGGAGGUGGUGGCGAUGACAGCCUUAGUGUGGUCUUCUCCAUUGCGGCCGGGAGUGGAGAAGGUGCGAACACUGCCACACGUUCGGGCAUUAGCACCGGUCGGGAAGGGCCUGUUGCCCCGGUUCCCGAGCCGGUGCUGCCCUUCCGGGACUAAAGGCCCAUCCUUUAGUCCCGGUUCGGGUAACCGGGGCUAAAGCCCCCCCAUUAACACCCAACCGGUGUUAAUGGGUCCUGCCAGGGCUGCCACGUUGCAGGACCCUUUACCAACCGGUGUUAAAGGGUUUCUUUUUCUUUUUUUUGGUUCACUUCUUUGGUUCUGUUUAUUGUUAGUAUAUAAUAUAUAAUAAUAGAUUUUUCAAUACAUGUUUUUCUGAUACAAUAAUAUAUUUAUAUUACACGCAUAUUAAGCAUAAAUAAAUGAAAAUUAUAGGCUUAGCCUUAAUAAUUAAGCUUUGCCUAUAAUAAAAUGAAUAGGCCACAUCAAAAAUUAAAUAGAUAUGUAAAAAGCUUUAUAUAUAUAUAAUUUUAUAUGUACAAAAUUCGUAACACAUAUAUACAUAGAGUUUUUUCUCCCAAUGUCUACAAAUGGUCAUCGUUGUUUGGAAUAAGAGUUUCGUUGCCGUUGAAGUGAAACUCGCCGUUUAGAUUGAUCACUUGGUCGCGGAGAAAUCCUGCUAUCGUCUCUUGGAUAGCUUUGAUUCGGUCUUGUUGUAGGACCUUUUCCCUCAACCAUUCCGUCUUUAAUUUGAAAUAAAUAAAAAAGGUAUUAGUUAUCUAAGUUAUUCAAUAUAAUUCAGGAGAUAAUGAAAAGAGACAUGUAACGUACUCUGAGCGUCUCUGUAGGUGUUUGAUUGACUUGUGUCAUCAUGAAUUUGCACACGUAAUAUGCACAUAGAUUGUUCCCCCCUUCUUGUCUUAAACACCACUGUACGAUAUAUAUAUAUAAAAUAUUCACGACUACGACAAUAAGAAGGCUACAAGUUAGCGAAAGUUUGCUAGCUAGUAGAACUUACUUGUGGAUGUAUUAUGUUAAGCGGCGCUUUACAUCCACUGAGAUGUUCACGGUCAAUGAAUCUUUCCCAAACCCUACACACAGCCAUUGUGGAUCGUGAACUAAUAAUUACAGAGUCAUAUUAUGAUAUUCUUCUAGCUGAGAUCGACAUUACGUAACUUUGAAUAAUGUUUACCAUUUGUUGAUAAUUUUCUUGUGGUUUUCUCAUGGAGUCAAAGAUUAUCAACCGGUUCUUGGGAAUUUCAAUGACCAUGAGUAUCCAGUGAAAGCUGUUUACACACAUAUAUAUAUAGUCAGUCCUAUAAUGUAAAAUAAAAUAUGCAUGCACUUAAUAACUAUAUAACUCACUCAAAGUUGAAGAGGAAGAGUAUUUUUUGUUUUUCUUUUUGGUUCACAAAGAACCUCAUAAGAUUGGUGCAGAUUUCUGUCUCAUGAGCUUCUGUCCACACUGCCCUGCGGAGCCUUGAAAACAAUAUAAGGGUCAACGAACCCAAUACUAUUGUCAUUUCUCAUUCUGAGCUCUCUCAUUUGGUGCCUGCAUAUAUACAUACAAAUCCUAAGUGUGUAAUGAUUAUAUACAUAUAAUUAAAGAAGUUAGAAGUAUAAUAAAAAGAAAAAAAUACUUACAGACAAAAGCAGCUGACAAAAGAUUUGUCGAGAGUGUCGAGGUGACAUAAUUGGUGCAAUUCUUCGAACUGCACGUAUAUAAGGUCAUCUCCACGGAAGUAGUGAUGUUGUCUAAUACGAACUGAAAUCCAAUUUUCUCCCCUUUUAGACGCCUCAAUGCACCAUUUGUUUAUUGCAAACAUUUGUGUGCCGAGCUCGUGUAAACGCUUAGGGUCGAAUAGACUCCUGCUCGGUUCAUAUCUUGCCCUCCAUUGAUCAACUACCUCGGCUUUUUCAAAUGUUUGACAUCCAAGAAUGGCGGCAAUUUCUUCCAUAUUUAAACCGCUCUGUCCAAAGUAACGCUCAAGCGAGUCUAGCUCAGACAACGCUAAGGAUUUCUUUGGCAUCAAGUCUUCAUUUGAGCCGUAUUGAUUUGGCACAAUCAAAGGGGGCACCGGUUUUGAUAUUUCUCCGAGCUGUGGGACCCCCUUUCCUACUCUCUUCUUAGGCUGUGAAGACUUGACCAGAGACCGCUCAUAGUCUCAAAGUGCUGGCUUUUUCUGAGCUUCGCGUUGCUUCUUUUGAUGGUCCGCCACCUUCUGCCUCAGUUCCGAUGGCUUUACAUAAAAGUACGGCUUUUCUGGGUUUUGCCACUUUUUACUAUCCUCCUUCAAUUUAUAAAAAAAUUGUUUGACCUCAGCUUUGGAUGCAGCAAUUAACUCCUCUUCACUCUUUUCAUAAGAUAAUUUUUCUGGCGUCUUAGCUCUCUUUGCUGAGGCAGCCUUCUUUGGAGGUGGGACCGAUGACUUCGGUCCUUCUUGGGCGGACCGCUUCUGACUACCUCGCUUUGGAGGCGAGGGGACCGACCGUGCACUCUUUGGAGAGGGCGGUGCAGGCAGUGGAGGUGGUGGGGCCGAUCUUUUCGGCGUUGGAGAACGCGGUGGAGGAGGUGGAGACCAUGGUGGAGGCGGUGGCGGGGUCGGUGUGGCCGCCGCAGGUGUUGGAGGAGAUCCCGCAUUGUCACCGCCCGCAGCACUAUGAUGCGCUGGGGAGAGAACUGGACUUAGGUUGGAGGAGUCCCUGCAAAGAAAACAAUUACAAGUUUUGUGAGCAAACUUUUUUUUAAUUUCAAUACAUAAUAAAUAAUAUAAGAUGUAAAAUCACACACAAACCUAUGUUGAGGAAUAAUUAUGAAGCGCUUGCGCCAACAAAUAAAUGUCUUCUCAGCUUCACCUAAGGUCUUCUCUCCGUCUCCCCCUUCUAUGUCUAGAGGCACAUUGCCACAACCUUUCUCAACCCUAUCAACCGAGACGCUAGCAUAUCCACUAGGUACUGGUCGAUUAUGGAUUCUUGGAGUUCUCGUUCGGUCGAUAGGGUUGACAACAGCGAUAGCCACCUUUUUUGUUGCAUUUCCAUCUGGUACAUGCAGCUCACAGGUAGCAAAAGCCUCUGUGACAUCAUCCACGGGGAAGUGUAGCUUCGUGUCAUCCUGAAUGGUUGGUACUUCCGUGGAUGCGCAGCUGCUUUUCAACUGGCCUGGGGGGCUAACGUUGACCUCAGGCUGUGAUGUACCUUGCCCUUUCGUCAUUUGACUAAGUGCUGCUUGCACUUGCCUUUGAAUCUCCGCCUGCAUCCAUUCUUCACGAGCUUUCUCGCGCUCUUCUGACUGCAGAACAAAAGCUUCAAGGCGGCGGAUCCGCUCUGCCUCCUCAUCCUUCUUUCUCUGGCGGCUUCUGUACGUAUCUUGAUCGACUUGGAAUGAUUGCAGCCACGGAACUGCCCCAUAGCCUCUCGUACGCCCACCGUGCUCAGGAUUUUCAAGCGCAUAGGUGAGUUCAUCCUUCUCCCUGUUAGGCCUGAACUCACCAGACUGAACCACUUCUCGUGCACGGACUAGUCUAUCUGCUGCUUUAGAUAUUUCUUGGCCCCAAACUAGCACCCCGGUGUCUGGGUCCACGCUUCCCCCAUGACCGUAGAACCAAUGCUUGGAGCGCUCGCUCCAAUUCUUUGCUAUUGUCUCGGGUGUGACCCCCCUAGCAAGCAUCUCCUGUUCCAUUCGGUCCCACUUGAGAACAGCACUCUUAUAACCACCUGAUCCCAUGUGAUGGUGGUAUGUCUUUUUACUUGCAUUCUCUUUGUUUCUAUUGGCUCGUUCCUCGCCCUCUUCUGAUGUUUUGUACUGCACAAAGUCAUCCCAGAAGGCCCUCAGCUUUACAUAUUGCUUGAGGUUGAAAUUUGGAGUCUCGUUUUUCUUGACAUAUUUAUUGUACAAAGUCUUCUUCCAAUUCUGGAAGAGUACUGCCAUCUUCUUUAUAGUCCAGUCAUAAAUUCGCACCUUCAACUCUUCAUCGUUGGUGUCGAAGGUGAAAACGUCUGUGACGGCUUUCCAAACUAACUCCUUGUCACGAUCAGAGACAAAACUGAUCUCAGGAGCACCUCGCUUCUCUCUCCAUUCACGAGCACUGAUCGGUAUUUGAUCUCUCACAAGAUAUCCACAGUGACUAACAUAUUUAUUUGCAUGUUCACCAAGUGGUCUGCCUGUAGCUAUCUCAAACUCAGAGAUUACAUAGCGGACCUCCAACGGCUUCUUUGGCCCUCGUGGAGGUACGCUUCUCCCCGUAGAGGUCGAUCCAGAAGGCUACACGUAGAUAUAGAAACAAAAAUACUAAAUUAAUAACCAAGUAAGUCUAAAACCUAAUGUAAUAGAUGCAUUAAUUAUAUAUGUUUACAUUUACAUACCUUGCCAGUAUUUUCUUCUUGUUGCACGACAAGUUGUUGCUCAGGCGCAUUGCUCUCUUGUUGCUCAGGGGCAUUGCUCUCUUGUUGCUCAGUAGGAUUGCCUUGCGUGAUCUUGUGGUAAUCAAUAAAGUACUGACUACCGUCGUCGAUUAUAUUUUGAAUGGCAUCUUCCAUAUAUUUAGGAUCAUCAUGAGCACGAUCAACCAUUUCUAUGUCUGCAACCAUAUAUAUAUAUAUAUAUAUAUUCUAUAUAAGAUAAGAAAUACACUAGAAUAAUAUAAGUGCUAGAGUGCUCCAAACUAAAAAAUAAUACUAAAAAAAAUAAUAUGAACAAUAACACUAGAAUAAUAUAAGUGCUAGAGUGCUCCAAACUAAAAAGUAAUACUAAAAAAAUAAUACGGACAAUAAUACUAGAAUAAUAUACUAGCACAAUAUAUUUCAUAACAAUUCAAAACACUACAAUUCAUAAUAUACUAGAAUAAUAUACUAAAAAGUCUUUUAAGCCAAGUAAUAUACUAGAAUAAUAUACUAAAAAUAAUACUAAAAAAUAAUACUAGAAUAAUAGUAUAAACAAUAAUAGUAUAUGUUUUAAGCCAAGUAAUAUACUAGAAUAAUAUACUAAAAAAUAAUACUAGAAUAAUAGUAUAAACAAUAAUAGUAUAUGUUUUAAGCCAAGUAAUACACUUGCACCUAGAAUAAUGUACUAAAAAAAUUAAUACUACAAAAUCAUACAAGAAUAAUAUAAGUGCUAGAGUGCUCCAAACUAAAAAAUAAUACUUUAAAAAAUAAUACGUACAAUAAUACUAGAAUAAUAUACUAGCACAAUAUAUUUCAUAACAAUUCAAAACACUACAAUUCAUAAUAUACUAGAAUAACAUACUAAAAAGUCUUUUAAGCCAAGUAAUAUACUAGAAUAAUAUACUAAAAAAUAAUACUAAAAAAUAAUACUAAAAAAUAAUACUAUAAUAAUAGUCUAAACUAAUAGUAUAUGUUUUAAGCCAAGUAAUACACUUGCACCUACAAUAAUAUACUAAAAAUUAAUACUACUACAAAAUGAUACAAGAAUAAUAUAAGUGCAUAUAUAUAUACAUAAUAAUACAAAAUAAUAGUAUAUAAACUGUUGGUAUGAAAUAUAAGUGCAUAUAUAAUGAUACAAAAUAAUAGUACAUAAUUAAGUGCAUAUAAAAUAAUAGUAUAUAUACAUAAUGAUACAAAAUAAUAGUAUAAAAUAAUGAUACAAGAACAAAAUGAUACAAGAAUAAUAGUAUAUAUAUAUAUACAUACAUACAUACACAUACAUAUAUAUAUAUAAGAUAUAUAUAUAUAUAACAUAUUAUUCAUCGAAACUGUUGGUAUUCAUAUAUAUAUACAAUUCAUAUAUACAAUUUUAGUCUAUACAUAUAAACUAUUGGCAUUUAUAUAUAUAUAUAUAGAUCGAUGAAGAAUAUACGUAGGAUCUGGUGGAGAUAGCCGCUGCAGCAGCGCUGGAGAUGAACGGCGGUGCUGGGGAGACGAACGGGCGGCGCUGGAGAUGGCGGCGGCGGCGCUGGAGACGAACGGCGGCGCUGGGGAGACGAACGGGCGGCGCUGGACGGCGGCGGCGGAGCUCUCUGCUCGACGAAGAUGAAGACAAAGGCAACUGCCCAGAUCCAGGGCGCCUGGGGCUUAUAUAGGGGCGGACCCUUUAGCACCGGUUCCAGCCACGGACCGGUGCUAAAGGGUCCUGCGCGCGCUAGGGUGGGCUCCUGAAAUUUUCAGGACUCUUUAGCACCGGUUCCCACUAUGGGCCGGUGCUAAAGGCCUUGUUUUUUAGUUUAGGGUUUUUCAAUUGUUUAUAUAUACAGUUUAUAUUAUAAAUUGUAUAUUAAAUUAAAUAUUGUCCAUAAUAUUUUUUAAACAGUGACAUAUAUUGUAGUUUUUUUUAUGUACACAUGAAAAAUUUUAACCUUAAAUAUCUUACUGUUUUUUUAUAAUUUGCAAUGAUUUUGUAAGAAAUGUUUACUAUUUUGUUAAUGCAAAAAUAUAUUAUUCCAAUAAAUUUACAAAAACUAUAUCCAAUCAACUGGAAAUCUAUUUUCACAUCAUAUUGACGUUAAACUUUUUAUUUUUGUUAUUUAUUACUCGGAAUGCUAGUAGGGUAUUGUUUUCAUCAAAUAAAAAUCUAUUUAUCAUAUAAAAAUAUAUAUCUUGAUGAACACACCCUUUGACCGAACCCUAAAUUGUCCCAAAUGGAAAAGUCAUGAAUACAAAGUUUGUUACACUCAUCAAGUUCUACAUUUUGUCUAAUGGUCAACUUUUCUUUUGGAAAAGUUUGAACCGCUAAAUUUUGAAUUUUCAGAGAAUUCAUGGCCACGCAGUGGUUUUGGAACCCUAGAUGGUCUCGAAUGGAAAAGUCAUGAAUACCAAAAUUGUUCCACUCAUCAAAAUUUACAUUUAAUAUAUAGACCAUUUUUGCAUUUGACAAAGUUUUAGGAAGGUGUAGUGAAAAUCCACAAUUGACACAUAUAGUUUCAUAUAGUUUGUGUGAGUGUUGAUAUUUGGGAACGCAAUAAGGAAUUGAUCCGUAAGCGCACGGAUAUCGGUGAGCACUUCACCCGGGAAAUUAUCCAGAGUAUCGUAUUUAUUUUUUUACCACUAGGAGAAAGAGUGCAUCUGACUAACCGGUCUAUUACUACUAACCCUUUAGGCAACAAAGAAUGUCUCUCGAUGUGAGUGAUAAAUAGAGAAGACUGCAACCGUAGUCUUCUUCUAAACUUGGUAAGGAUGAUCUACUGUUCUAUUAGAGAGGCUAACGGAAUCUAGACACCACAAAGGAUGUUCAACCCGCACCUAUAAACCCUAUCCUUCCUGCUAACGAGAUAUGGUCUGCAAAGGUAACUCGGAAUUGUCACGUUCCUCACUACUACCACGGUCUAGCUAGUCAGGGAAUAUCUAUGAGUACCCCAGCCUAAACACCACGUUUACACCAGCAAUGAUUACUCUAAACUCUACGUGAAGAGAUUAAAGUAAACUCAUAAACCAGAAGAACAAUAAAACAAGAACUUACUAGAAUUUAGAAGUCGAAAUAUUGAAGAAUCCUAGGAGCAAGCUUCGUGUUAGGAGAACUUGAUCCCGUAGGUACAAGCUUGGAGUAGACACCGACAGGCCGAGCUUCCUCCAAUCUACACCUCCACUCUAUCUCUCUCAAUCUAGUAGAAACUAGAAGAUCUAUUUCUACUUUAUAUUGGUUGCUAAGCCUAAAAAGAAAUAUUAAUUAGAGAAGAGGUUUUCCUUUGAGGGCACCCCUCAAUCUGUAUGACAAUUUCUUGUCUUCUCCAGGGGCCAGGGGGGUCUCCUUAUAUAGUCCUUCUCCUUUAUGCGUUUUUGGGUCGGUAGGCGAGGUGGUACUACAUUAUCUUUGAUCCAUUAGGUCGGUGGAACAUCGUGUGCGAAGAGAGUCCCGAACGGGAUCCAGCAGGGGGCGGGCGCCCUGGGCCUGGCCCCUUUCGGCCUCUGCUUCGUUCUCGUGGCUUCUGGAGUGUUCUAGAUGGUAGACAAUCGCGCGGUGCGUUGAUAUCUCUAUGUAAUCCCGACAUGUGGGUCUUUCUUCCUUAUUUCCUGAUAACCCCCUGCAGAAACAGAUAAACAACAAAACUCGUGGAAUUCUGUCAGAUCAAACCCUAAUUCUAGGUGUUGGUUGCAUAUUGGUCCUUUCUCUUGUUUAUCUGAUAAUUAAAAUUGAUACUUAAGAACCGUCAACAAAUACCCCCAUACUUAGGCUUUUACUCGUCCUCGAGAAAAGGAUGGUUAAGAACAAUACUUGGGGUAAAGCAUUCUAAAACAUUCUUUAUAUUUGCAGGGUAUUAGAAUCCACUGUGUACUGUAGUUAGGGAAGUAUAUGAUUAAGAGUAAAGAUUCUUUCUUCUCAAUCCUGUUACUUGGAGUUUUUGUAUAAUUUUGAAAGAAAGCUAGCAUACCUUUUAUCCUCAUAGGUUCUCUCAGAUUACUCAUUAUCUUUUAUAUAUCUCACUGAGGCUGUUUUAAUUUGCAAAAAUUCUUAAGCAUAUUUACUUUGCAUUUAUUGCCUGAUCAAAACGGGAUCCAAGGAGGGGAAUGUCAUACUCUUAGAUCAAAGACUUUGGAAAUUAAAACUUUGUCAAAUCUUGCUGGCAUAUUGCUUAUUAGAGGGACCAUGGGCUAUCAUUUUCUUUUUCUCUCUUUUUUUUAAUGGAUACCGAGGUAUCCCUAAUUCUACUGCCGGACACUUGUCCAUUUUUUCUGCGAGGUUGUCGAGCACUUGCUCCUUUUUAUUUCCUCGAAAUAUCUUUAUUUUUUGCAUAGCCCAUGCCUCUAAUGUAAUAAUACUUCGGAAGAGUGAAUCUUUCUGAAUAAAUGUCUUGAUCUUAGGAGUAUGAUAAAUCUCUCAACAAGGGUCUAACUCAUUUUGAACAAACUCAAUACAGAGUAGAUAGCUUUUAUAAUCAUAAUUAAUAUUUUCAGUUUUAUCAGGCAUAUAAAAUACUGAGGAUGGUAGCUAGAAUUUUGAAGAUUUUGAAAUAAAUUCUCCAAGCAACUCAUACUCUACCAUUACAUAUUCCAUAUUGACUUAAGUAAUACAGGGUUUUAAAAAUGAUUUUCAAUAAUUGCAAGUUUUCAAGAAAUAUCACAGAUUGAGAUUAAUCAUGAUUAGAAAUAUUUUAAUCUUUUUAAUGUAUCAUGUCGGAAACAGUAAUCUGCAUAAUCAAGAUAUGUGAAGUGUAAAGUAAAGUGUGCAGAGUGUGUACCUGAAUCGUGGAGUGGUGUAGUCGAAGUGUGUUUGGCGUGUCGAUGGAUCUCUCCCAUACUUGUUUUCUGCUUUCUUGCACAAAAAUAAAGUAGAGACACACAAGACAUAAUAAUAGUAAUACUCUUUAUUAAUCUUGAGGCAUUUAUUACAAAAGACUAGUAGCAAACUGAUGAUAAUAGUAAACCUAAACCGAAUUUAAAGAUAAAUAACUAAGAUGCAUUGCCUCAAGGUCUAAUCUAGAUAACUUAGCGGCGCUCUAAUUCCUUAAUCUUCUUGUUGGCACUGGCAAGAUCAUGCCUAAGGCCUAGUAUAAUAGUGUUGUGGUUAGAGAGCUGCCUAGUGAGGGAAUUAAUCGAGGACUGGAGGUCUAUGAUAACUCUGUCUAGCAUGCGAAUGUCCUCAUCAAUAUCGACUAUAGUCUUGCGACGCUUGGGAGGUGUCUCAAAAGCACUGAGAGCGUGUUUCGGGGCUGCCUUUGGAGGGAUGAAACGGACUUUGGCUGCUCUAAUCCCUUCAAAGUAAGGCCUCUCCUCCUCCGUAGUGUAGCGAAUACUGCUGAUCUCGCCGCUCCGGUUGGUCUUGACUCCAACGAGACUCUUAUUGGGUCUAGGUGGAAGGAUCCUUGUGCCGGAUGGCACUGGUCUUUGUCUUGGAUGAUGAUCCCUUAAGGAGUAGGGGUUGUGGCGGUGCGGUGAGAACUGGUUGAGCAUGAUAGGAUUGGGCGAAGCUACGUUGGCGUAAUGGCAUGGCUUCUAGCUGUCGCUCUGUGUUGGCCGGGACGAGAGCACGGGCAUCGAGGUCUUCCACAGGCUCCAUGUUGAGGUUGAAGGGGACGACUUCCCAAUCAUUGUGGAACUUCUCGGCCAUUGGAGCAGCAAGGAACUAAUCAAGCUCUAAUUGAAGAAGAAAAGAAGGCUUGAUGGUUUGGUGUUUGAAAACUGAUGUCAGGGGUCUGUUUAUAUAGGGGUCAAAAAGUGUCUCUAUGGGUUGUUCGGGUUGCUCCCGUCGAUGUGCUUGCGAAGCUUUCCAUCUGAGGGAUUAUUCGGAUUACCAUAAGUGCAUUUUCCAUAACAGAGAAAAUCGGGACCGAGGGGGAACAGGAGCUGGGCGCCCGCCCACCUGAUCUGGGCGCCCGCCCUCUCUCUGGCCCCUCUGUGGGUCCACUUCCUCGAGCGCGUUAUUAGAUGCAAAACUAUUUAGAAAAAUAUAUAUAUGACCCAAAAACGUUAGAAUAAAAAGGUCGGGCUUCAAAUUCUCCAUGGGAAGGUGAAAAUGGACUACGUCUAUUUCUUCUAAUUGUUUAUUGGGAUCUAAAAAUAAUUUAAGACGUUGACCAUUUACCUUGAAUAACGUACCUUCGUCAUUUUGAAGUGUGAUAGCUCCGUGGGAUGAUGAAUUAAUUACCUUGAAUGGUCCUUCCCAUUUGCUCCGGAGUUUUCCAUGCCCGAAAAGCUUCACCCUGGAAUUAAAAAGCAAUACCUUAUCUCUGGGUGUGAACUCCUUCUUGUUGAUUCUCUUGUCAUGCCACCUUUUGACUCUUUCUUUGUAGAUCUUUGAAUUGUGAUAUACCUUCUCUCGCCAUUCUUCCAAUUCUGAUAGUUGCAUUCUUCUAUAAUCUCCAGCAACAUCUAGGUCCAUAUUCCAUCUCUUUAUGGCUCAGUGUGCUUUGAACUCUAGUUCAACGGGUAGAUGGCAAGUCUUCCCGUACACCAAUUGGUAUGGAGACAUUCCAAUUGGGGUCUUGUAUGCUGUCCGGUAUGCCCAGAGUGCAUCGGGUAACUUGUCUUUCCACGCCGUUCCCAUUUCAUUUACUGUCUUCUGAAGAAUAUUCUUGAUUUCUUUGUUGGAAGUCUCUGCUUGGCCACUUGUCUGCGGAUGAUAGGGGGUAGCGACGUUGUGACGGAUUCCAUGUUUUGAUAGAUAUUGCUUGAAGCGUUUGUCGAUGAAGUGUGCUCCUCCAUCACUUAUCACUACUCUGGGGACUCCAAAUCUUGGAAAUAUAAUUUCUUCAAACAUCCUCUUUGAACUGACGUUGUCGGCAUGCUUGCAAGGUAAUGCCUCUACCCACUUGGAGACAUAGUCAACUGCCACCAAGAUAUACUCACAAUUUCUUUGAUGGAGGAAAUGGACCCAUGUAGUCUAUUCCCCAGACAUCAAAGAGCUCAAUCUGAAGGUUGUUGGUGAGUGGCAUUGCAUCCCUUGUAUUUAUGUUUCCGUGUCUUCGACAUGGCCCACAUCUUCUGAUAUAAUGCUUCGUAUCUUCAUACAUUGUAGGCCAGUAGAAUCCACACUGCCAGAUCUUUGAAUGUGUGCGGAAUGCUCCAUAGUGACCUCCAUAUGGUGAUGAAUGACAUCUGUCGAUGAUCUUCCAUCCUUCCUCAGUGGUCACACAUCUCCUAAGUAAGCCAUCAGAGCAUACUCGGAAGAGGUAUGGCUCAUCCCAUAUAUGUGAACGACUUUCUUGAAUAAGCUUCUUCUUGUUUGCUCCUGGUGGUACAUACCCUGAAACCAUAAAAUUAACAAUAUCUGCAUACCAGGGGUCAGACCUGUUAAUCCCGUAGAGCAUGUCGUCCCGGAGUGAAUCAUUGAUGGGGGUUUCCUGUGGACUCUUAAAAUACAUUCUAGACAAGUGAUCAACAAUAGAAUUUUCUACUCCCUUUUUAUCUUUUAUUUCUAAGUCAAAUUCUUGGAGUAAUAAGAUCCAUCUAAUCAGGCGAGGUUUAGCAUCUUUUUUAGUGAGCAAAUAUUUUAGUGUAGCAUGAUCAGUGUAAACAAUUAUUUUAGCUCCAACUAAAUAAGAUCUAAAUUUAUCAAUGGCAAAGACAACAGCCAAAAGCUCUUUUUCAGUGGUUGCAUAAUUAAGUUGAGCUCCUAUCAAAGUUUUACUGGCAUAAGCAAUUGCAUGAUGCUUCUUAUUUUUAGUUUGUCCCAAAACUGCCCCCACAGCAUAAUCACUAGCAUCACACAUAAUUUCAAAAGGCAACAACCAAUCAGGGGGUUGAAUGAUUGGUGCAGAGAUGAGUGCUUUCUUUAAUAAAUUAAAAGAUGUUAGACAUGCAUCAUCAAAUUCGAAAGGAGCAUCCUUGGCUAGCAAAAGAGUAAGUGGUCUAGCAAUGAAUGAGAAAUCUUUUAUAAAUCUACGAUAAAAACCAGCAUGGCCAAGAAAGCUUCGAAUUCCUUUUAUAUUCAUAGGUGGAGGUAGUUGUUCAAUUACUUCAAUUUUAGCUUUGUCUACCUCAAUACCUCUUUCAGACACUAAGUGUCCCAGCACUAUUCCUUCUCUAACCAUAAAAUGAUAUUUUUCCCAAUUAAGGACUAAGUGCUUUUCUUCACAUCUUUGCAAAACCUUGUCUAAGUUUUCAAGACAACUAUCAAAAGUUUUUCCAUAAACAGAGAAAUCAUCCAUGAAAACUUCCAUAAUCUCUUCAAUCAUAUCAGAAAAUAUAGACAUCAUGCAUCUUUGAAAAGAAGCUGGUGCAUUACAUAACCUAAAAGACAUUCUACGGUAAGCAUAAGUUCCAUAUGGGCAUGUAAAAGUGGUUUUGCUUUGAUCAUCGGGAUGGAUCGGGAUCUGAUGAUACCCUGAAUAUCCAUCUAAAAAACAGAAGAAUGAAUGGUUCGCUAACCGCUCUAGCAUCUCAUCUAUGAAAGGUAAAGGAAAGUGAUCCUUUCUCGUGGCUUUGUUUAGUUUUCUAUAGUUUAUGCACAUCUGCCAUCCUGUGACGGUGCGUUGCGGAAUUAGCUCGUUCUUUUCAUUCAUAAUAACAGUCAUGCCUCCCUUUUUAGGCACAACUUGAACUGGGCUUACCCACUCACUGUGCGGCACAUGAUAUAUAAUCCCUGCAUGCAGCAACUUUAUAACUUCCUUUUUAACUACCUCUCUCAUAGUGUUAUUAAGUCUACGUUGGGGUUCUCGAGAGGGUGAAACAGAAGGAUCUGUUGGAAUACGAUGGGUACAAAUCAUAGGACUGAUUCCUGUAAGAUCUUGGAGUGAGUAGCCGAAAACUGAGUGAUGUUUCUCAAGAAUGGUCAUUAAUCCCAGAGUUUGCUCCUGAGUGAGUUUAUUGCUAAUGAUCACAGGAAACUCUGGAUUAUUGUUUAGGAAAGCAUAGGUAAGACCGGGUGGUAAAGUUUUAAGCUCUAUGGGGGGUCUAGUUGUUUCUGCAAACUCAUCUAAAGGUUCAGGUUCAGAAGGUUCGGUUUCUUCUUCUAUGAAGAAAGGAGUUUCGUCUUCUAAGUCUGAUUCUUCUAAAAGCUCUAGAGAUGCAGCCUUUACCUCCUCCAUAGGAUCAGGCAAAAGAUAUGAUUCGGCCUUAUUGUUUAAGGAGUGUGAAAUUGUUAUUGGGAAUUUAAAGGCUUUUCCAAAAGAAAUGUGUAGCUUUCCAGUAUGACCUUCAUAAAGGAGUCUUCUAAAAGGUUGUCCUAUCAACAGGUCGAAGUCCCAUGUAUCAAAGAUAUAGAAGUUCAAAUGAACCAUGGAGCCUUCUACCGUAAGAGGUAGGACAUUAAUAAUUCCAAGACUGGGGACUAAUCGUCCCGAAGAUUCCUUUAUGACCUUUGUUGUGGGGGUUAAGACAAGAUUUUUAAAUAGUUUAAGUGCAAAAGAUUUAGACAUGAUGUUGAUGCCCACAACAGGAUUAUAAAGAGCAUUAAAUCGAUCAGAAUUAUAAGCACAGCGUAUAGUUAUAGAGGGUGUGUCCAAACGGAUCAUAUCAGAGGAAAGCUCUGAUUCCUCCAACCAUUCGCUACUCAUGACUGAGAUAAGCUCUCUCAAUUGAUAUUCACUUGGCAAAUAAAUGCUAAACUGGCCGUUUUGGGGUUUGUCAAUAGAAUGGUAGUUUGAAAUGUUUCGAAAAUCGGCAAAAAGAUCGGAUUCUAUAUCCAGCAUGAAGUCCGGUGGUGGAAUUUCUUCCUCUUGUGGCUCAGAACUUGGGAUAGCUAAAGUAGAUGAAGAAUUUGGCAGAGUGUCUACUUCGGCUUCGUAGGUUUCAUCAUGAAGGGUAUUAUCCAUCUCAGCUUCUAGGAUUCUAUCUAGGAUCACUCUAGCUUCAUCAGUAGGGAUGCGAAAGAAAGAACCUCUAGACAUUGUGUGUAGCAUUUGUUUGUGAUUUUUCUGAAGACUUCGAAAAAAGUGAAAUAAAAGAACAGGGUCUUCAAGAUUAAGGUUUGGACCAGAUUCUAAAAGAUCAGAAAAACGUUUCCAGGAUUUUCCCAAAGUUUCAUUAUCUUUUUGUUUAAAAGAUAGGACUUCGAGUCUAAGGUCGGCUAUACGGUCAAGAGAAUAGAAAUCUAGACAAAAGUUAGCUCGUAAAACUCCCCAUUCACCUCGUUGUUGACUUACCUUCUGACUGUACCAUUGUCUAGCUUCUCCCCUUAAGGAAAAAGGAAAAAGCUUCCAAUGUAAAGUUUUAUCAGAUAUGCCUUCAAUGCGAAGACAAUCACAUGUUUGCUCAAAAUCUCUAAUAUGAAGGUAAGGGUUUUCGUCUUCCUUUCCCGAAAAAGAUAGGAUUUGAAUCAUGGCAAUCAACCUAGAACUUAACUUAUACUGGGAUGUUUGGAUAGGUUGUGAUGACUCCCAUGGUAAAAGGUCAGUUACUGAAAGGAUUGCAGACUCAUGGAUUGAUUUAGAAUUUUGGUUUUCCAUAAGGUAAGAGUAAAGAAAAUAAAUAAAGAAUAUAAAAGAUAAGAAAAGAUAAAAGUAUAGAUACAAGCUAGUAGUAAGACUCAAGGUUAUCUCAGCAAACUGUCUUUCUCCCCGGCAACGGUGCCAUAAAUGCUUGUUGAUAUUUGGGAACGCAAUAAGGAAUUGAUCCGCAAGCGCACGGAUAUCGGUGAGCACUUCACCCGGGAAAUUAUCCAGAGUAUCGUAUUUAUUUUUUUUACCACUAGGAGAAAGAGUGCAUCUGACUAACCGGUCUAUUACUACUAACCCUUGAGGCAACAAAGGAUGUCUCUCGAUGUGAGUGAUAAAUAGAGAAGACUGCAACCGUAGUCUUCUUCUAACCUUGGUAAGGAUGAUCUACUGUUCUAUUGGGGAGGCUAACGGAAUCUAGACACCAUAAAGGAUGUUCAACCCGCACCUAUAAACCCUAUCCUUCCUGCUAACGAGAUAUGGUGUGCAAAGGUAACUCGGAAUUGUCACGUUCCUCGCUACUACCACGGUCUAGCUAGUCAGGGAAUAUCUAUGAGUACCCCAGCCUAAACACCACGUUUACGCCAGCAAUGAUUACUCUAAACUCUACGCGAAGAGAUUAAAGUAAACUCAUAAACCAGAAGAACAAUAAAACAAGAACUUACUAGAAUUUAGAAGUCGAAAUACUGAAGAAUCCUAGGAGCAAGCUUCGGGUUAGGAGAACUUGAUCCCGUAGGUACAAGCUUAGAGUAGACACCGACAGGCCGGGCUUCCUCCAAUCUACACCUCCACUCUAUCUCUCUCAAUCUAGUAGAAACUAGAAGAUCUAUUUCUACUUUACAUUGGUUGCUAAGCCUAAAAAGAAAUAUUAAUUAGAGAAGAGGUUUUCCUUCGAGGGCACCCCUCAAUCUGUAUGACAAUUUCUUGUCUUCUCCAGGGGCCAGGGGGUCUCCUUAUAUAGUCCUUCUCCUCUAUGCGUUUUUGGGUCGGUAGGCGAGGUGGUACUACAUUAUCUUUGAUCCAUUAGGUCGGUGGAACAUCGUGUGUGAAGAGAGUCCCGAACGGGAUCCAGCAGGGGGCGGGCGCCCUGGGCCUGGCCCCUUUCGGCCUCUGCUUCGUUCUCGUGGCUUCUAGAGUCUUCUAGAUGGUAGAAAAUCGUGCGGUGCGUUGAUAUCUCUAUGUAAUCCCGACAUGUGGGCCUUUCUUCCUUAUUUCCUGAUAACCCCCUGCAGAAAUAGAUAAACAACAAAACACGUGGAAUUCUGUUAGAGCAAACCCUAAUUCUAGGUGUUGGUUGCAUAUUGGUCCUUUCUCUUGUUUAUCUGAUAAUUAAAAUUGAUACUUAAGAACCGUCAACAGUGAGAUUCAAGAAUUGGUGGGUAUUGUUAACUUAAACUUUCUCAAAUGGAAAAGUUGUGUAUAUAAAAAGUUUAGAUCUUGAUGAUAUCUAACAACUUGGUAUUCAUAAUUUUUUCAUUUUAAGUAAUUUAGUUUGUCAUUUGACCAAGUUUGACCAAAACCCGUCUUGGAUUUUAUAGAAAUGUGAUUAGGAUUGGCAAAAAAUUAUCCAAAUGGAAAAAUGGACAAUAUAUAAAAUGUAGAUCUUGAUGAUCUCUAACAACUUUGUAUUCAAAAUUUUUUCAUUUGAAGUCAUCAAAUGGGCCAUUUGAUCAAGUUUGACCAAAGUCAAAGCAUUGGUUUUUACAAAAACACUCUUUGACCGAACCCUAAAUUGUCCCAAAUGGAAAAGUCAUGAAUACAAAGUUUGUUACACUCAUCAAGUUCUACAUUUUGUCCAAUGGUCAACUUUUCUUUUGGAAAAGUUUGAACCACUAAAUUUUGAAUUUUCAGAGAAUUCAUGGCCACGCAGCGGUUUUGGAACCCUAGAUGGUUUUGAAUGGAAAAGUCAUGAAUACCAAUAUUGUUCCACUCAUCAAAAUCUACAUUUAAUAUAUAGACCACUUUUGCAUUUGACAAAGUUUUAGGAAGGUGUAGUCGAAAAUCCACAAUUGACACAUAUAGUUUCAUAUAGUUUGUGUGAGAUUCAAGAAUUGGUGGGUAUUGUUAACUUAAACUUUCUCAAAUGGAAAUGUUGUGUAUAUAAAAAGUUUAGAUCUUGAUGAUAUCUAACAACUUGGUAUUCAAAAUGUUUUCAUUUUAAGUAAUUUAGUUUGUCAUUUGACCAAGUUUGACCAAAACCCGUCUUGGAUUUUAUAGAAAUGUGAUUAGGAUUGGCUAAAAAUUAUCCAAAUGGAAAAAUGGACAAUAUAUAAAAUGUAGAUCUUGAUGAUCUCUAACAACUUUGUAUUCAAAAUUUUUUCAUUUGAAGUCAUCAAAUGGGCCAUUUGAUCAAGUUUGACCAAAGUCAAAGCAUUGGUUUUUACAAAAACACUCUUUGAUCGAACUCUAGAUUGUCCCAAAUGGAAAAGUCAUGAAUACAAAGUUUGUUACACUCAUCAAGUUCUACAUUUUAUCUAAUGGUCAACUUUUCUUUUGGAAAAGUUUGAACCACUAAAUUUUGAAUUUUCAGAGAAUUCAUGGCCACGCAACGGUUUUGGAACCCUAGAUGGUCUCGAAUGGAAAAGUCAUGAAUACCAAUAUUGUUCCACUCAUCAAAAUCUACAUUUAAUAUAUAGACCACUUUUGAAUUUGACAAAGUUUUAGGAAGGUGUAGUUGAAAAUCCACAAUUGACACAUAUAGUUUCAUAUAGUUUGUGUGAGAUUCAAGAAUUGGUGGGUAUUGUUAACUUAAACUUUCUCAAAUGAAAAAGUUGUGUAUAUAAAAAGUUUAGAUCUUGAUGAUAUCUAACAACUUGGUAUUCAAAAUUUUUUCAUUUUAAGUAAUUUAGUUUGUCAUUUGACCAAGUUUGACCAAAACCCGUGUGGGAUUUUAUAGAAAUGUGAUUAGGAUUGGCUAAAAAUUAUCCAAAUGGAAAAUAGACAAUAUAUAAAAUGUAGAUCUUGAUGAUCUCUAACAACUUUGUAUUCAAAAUUUUUUCAUUUGAAGUCAUCAAAUGGGCCAUUUGAUCAAGUUUGACCAAACUCAAAGCAUUGGUUUUUACAAAAACACUCUUUGACCGAACUCUAGAUUGUCCCAAAUGGAAAAGUCAUGAAUACAAAGUUUGUUACACUCAUCAAAAUUCACAAUUCUCAAAUACAGUUUCAUACAAAGUUUGUUACGGUCCACUAUUGUUAAGGUCCACUGUUGUCAUCCCAUACUCCUUGUCGACUGUUACCCCACCUCCGGUCAUCUUCACCAAUUGACACCGGAACAAAGGAACUUUAAAAUUAGCUGCAUAGACUAGUUCCCAUAUGUCUUCUAUGCGUCCAUAAUAUGUUUGUCUGUUCCCAUUUGGAUCUGUGGCAUCCACGCGUACACCACUAUUUUGGUUGGUGCUCCUUUUAUCUUGGCCAACUGUCUAAAAUGUGUUACCAUUUAUCUCGUACCCUUUGUACGUGAGGACAUGCCAUGAUGGUUGCCUGGCCAACAAAUAAAGCUGCUCAUUAAUGUUUUCAUCACCUUGACAUUUUUUGUGCAACCAAACGCCAAAAGUUUCCAUGUGGUGACGCAUUAUCCAAGCUUCAUUCUUCCCGGGCCACUGGGACCGUAGGAAAUCUUUGUGUACCUCAACAUAUGGUUCCACCAAUGAGGAGUUCUGGAGAACUGUGUAGUGUGCUUUAUUGAAGUAAUCGUCUCCCAUACCAAUGUAUGUUUUCUUCCCAAGUGUUCCCUUUCCACUGAGUCUGCCCUCGUGUCGAGAUUCAGGAAUGCCAAUUGGGUCAAGGUCUGGAAUAAAGUUAACACAGAUCUCUAUGACCUCCUCUGUUUCGUAGCCCUUGGCAAUGCUUCCUUCUGGCCGGGAAUGACUAUGGACAUAUUUCUUUAGAACAUGUUGUGUAGGAACACAGGACCGAGAAUAUGAAUCUCUUUGACGAGAUGAACUAGGAGGUGUUUCAUGAUAUCGAAGAAGGAUGGAGGGAACACCAACUCAAAGCUGACGAGACAUUGAACGACAUCAUUCUGCAGAGUAGCUAGUUGCUCUGGAUUGAUUGCCUUCUGAGAAAUUGCAUUGAGUAAUGCACAUAGCUUUAUGGUGGCUAGACGUACGUGUGGAGGUAAAAUUCCUCUUAAAACGACCGGCAGCAAUUGCGUCAUUAGAACGUGACAGUCAUGGGACUUCAAGUUCAGGAAUUUCUUCUCUGGCACAUUAAUUAUUCCCUUGAUAUUGGAGGAGAAUCCAGAUGGGACCUUGAUGCUGCUAAGACAUUCAAACAUGCUUUCCUUCUCUUCUUUGCUCAGAGUGUAGCUAGCAGGGCUUAAGUAAUGACGUCCAUCAUCUGUCUUUUCUGGAUGCAGGUUGUCUCGUUCUUUCAUGUGCUGCAAGUCUUGUCAUGCUUCAAGUGAAUCCUUAGACUUCCCGUAGACACCCAUGAAUCCGAGCAAGUUCACACAAAGAUUCUUUGUCAGGUGCAUCACGUCGAUCGCGUUGCGGACCUCUAGGACAUUCCAGUAAGGUAGCUCCCAAAAUAUGGAUUUCUUCUUCCACAUGGGUAUGUGUCCCUUAGCAUCCUUGGGAAUAGGUUCGCUGCCUCGUCCCUUUCCAAAUACCACUUUUAUAUCCUUGACCAUUUUGAGUACAUCAUCCCCGGUUCGAUUGAGAGGUUUGGUCCGGUGGUCUGCCUUGCCUUUAAAAUGCUUGCCUUUCUUUCGUACUGGGUGGCUCACAGGAAGAAACCGACGGUGGCCAAGGUACACGACCUUUCGACAUUUUUUCAAAAAUACAUAGUCAAGGUCUUCAUAACAAUGUGUGCAUGAAAGAUUACUCAGAGCUGGCCAAUCAUUGAUUGUUAUAAACAGCAAUGCUCGCAGGUCAAAGUGCUCUUGUUUGUACUCAUCCCACACACGAACUCCUGGUUUGCUCCAUAAAAGUUGAAGUUCCUCAACUAAUGGCCUUAGGUAGACAUCUAUGUCAUUGCCAGGUUGCUUCGGUCCUUGGAUAAGCACCGGCAUCAUAAUAAACUUCCGCUUCAUGCAUAGCCAUGGAGGAAGGUUGUAGAUACAUAGAGUAACUGGCCAAGUGCUGUGACUACUGCUCUGCUCACCGAAAGGAUUCAUACCAUCUGUACUUAAGGCGAACCGCAAGUUUCUAGCAUCAUCUGCAAAAUCUGGGAAUUCUCUGUCUAUCGCUCUCCACUGGGAUCCAUCGGCAGGGUGUCUCAGCAUAUUGUCUAUCUUACGGUCUUCUUUAUGCCACCGCAACAACUUUGCAUUGUCCUUAUUUCUGAACAGACGUUUUAAUCAUGGUAUUAUAGGAGCAUACCACAUAACCUUGGCAGGAAUUUUCUUCCUAUGACGUUCUUCACCCUCAACAUCGCCAUGAUCAUCUCGUCUAAUCUUAUACCGUGAUGCCUUACAUACUGGACAUGCAUCCAAAUUCUCGUAUUCCUCCCCACGGUAGAGGAUGCAGUCAUUAGGACAUGCGUGUAUCUUCUGGAUUUCUAAUCCCAAAGGGCAGACAACCUGUUUUGCUUCAUACGUAGUGGUGGGCAAUUCGUUGCCUUUCGGAAGCAUCUUUUUUAUGAUCUUCAAUAACUGCCCAAAUGCCUUGUCAGAUGUACCAUUCUUUGCCUUCCAUUGCAGCAAUUCUAGUGUGGUACCCAGCUUUUUUUGCCCCUCUUCAGCGGUGGGAUAUAGCGAUUUCCUGUGGUCCUCUAGCAUGCGCUCGAACUUGGCUUUCUCUUUAUCACUUUCACAUUCUCUUUGUGCAUCACGGAUGACAUCACCAAAAGCAUCAUCGCCCCGAUCAUCUUCUGCCGCUACCUCUUCUUCAUUAUCUCCCCCCAUUGCAACAUCAUUGAAGCCACCGUACUGAGCAAUAAUAUUGGCAUGGUCCAAUUCUUCUUCUUUUUCUUCACCUUCAUCUAUUAUAAUCCCGCUUUCUCUAUGUUUGGUCUAACAAAUAUAGUUUGGUACGAAACCAAACUUUAAUAAGUGUGAAUGAAGAGUUCUUGAGUUAGAAUAUUCCGUCAAAUUCUUGCACACGGCACAUGGACAGCACAUGAAACCAUCCCUCUUAUUUGUCUCGGCCACUUAAGAAAUAGUGCACGCCAUUAAUGAACUAUUCGGAGCGCCGAUCGGCAUUAUACAUCCAAUUACGUGUUACCAUCUGCAUUAAAUAUAACAUAUAUAUUAUGAAAUCCAUGCACACAUAUAGUUUCUCAUCUUAUUGCACAACAUGUCUAAGAUACAUAGUUGAUUAAUUUAGGAAAGCUUUGGCUACAACAAAUACAAUCGCAACUAGAACUAAAAAACCAAAACUAAAAUGCACUUAAGCAACAUAAUUAGUUCGCGUCCGAUCCCAACUAUAAUAGAUAGAUCAUUCGCUUGAUCAACAUCAUUGAACUCCUUUCGUCGGCUCACUGCCUCACCACCUUCAGCCUCAACCAUCUGUGCAAAUGAUUUCUUAAUGUGUUCAAUGUAUUCUUCCUCCCAGUACCAACCUGUACAUCCACCGGUACCGUCCCACUAAAAUUAAAAGAGAGAAUCAAAAGUUUAAUUAAUAUCAUUUAAAAAAAAAUAUGCACAUAUAUAAGCAAAUGUCUGGAAAUAACUCACAUUACGAUCCGGACACUUGUAGAAUAUACGACCCUUGUUUACUCCCUCUUUCGACACUUUGUACUCCAUCAAAAUCUUCUGCCCACACUUGCCACAAGAAAUGAGAGGGAGUUCCGGACGGUAUCGCUUUUGAACCCGUUGAGAGACCGAAGACCCGGUCACGGUUGCCAUCUACUAUCCAUACUCAAUUUUUAAACAAUUAUAAAUUCCACAUUUACUAGUAAACAUGUAUGAUUAAAGAAGAACCUAAUAAUAUCCUUUAUUUGUCUAGUUACUUGAACAAAUCUUCUAAAUUAUACAAUGGACAUUAUGUAGUAAUAAAAAUAAAUCAAGUGAUAUUAACAAACCAAUUAAUUUGAACUAUCCUACUUUCUAAGAUCAUAAAAAGAUACUAUAAUUCAUUCUUGCAAACUACAUUAAUACUAGGUCAACCAUGAAAUAUGAUAUAUAUAUAUAUAUGGAUACUAAUUCAUGUGAAUGAUUCAAAAUAACAACGUGGAUUUGAGCUAAAAAUAAUGGGAACAUCACAAGCCAAAAACAACAUGAAAAAGACAAGAAAGACAAAAGUUAGUCACCUCCAAACACGAAGAAACGAUGACGGAGUCGAAGAAGAUCAACAAUGGGGGUCGGAGAUGAAGAACAAAUGAGGAAGAAGAAGCUCCAAGAACAACAAUGGUGAAUGGUGCUCUCGGUUUCAAAUGGGCAGAGAGGAGGAGUGAUCCAGCCUAUAAGCCUAUAAACCGGUUCAGGGACAAAUCCGGUGCUAAAGGCUUUGCCUCGGCCUGUGGCGCUGGCCGGUGCUAAAGGGGACCCUUUAGCACCGGUUGGUAACACGAACCGGUGCUAAAGGGUCUCUGCCCCGACAGCACCUGUCAGUAGCCGUUGGGCAGGACCCUUUAGCACCGGUUCGUGUUACGAACCGGUGUUAAAGGGGUCUUUAACCCCGGGCCGUAAAAAGGCCGAGGUUUUUGGCCAUUUUGGGCAUCGACCAAUGCCUCAUUCUGUAGUAGUGGAAGACAAAAACCGCAUGGCUGGGGGCGGCGGUGUUGGGUAUUUUAAACGCAAACAGAAAAAUCCGCAAGCGCACAGAUACCGAUGUAGCUUUCACCCGGGAGUAUUCCAGAGUAUCGAUUUUCCACAGAGAACGUGAGUGUACUAAUUAAGACCCAAGAUCGCCCAAGGAUAACUAUAUAAUUGUUUUUGGUGGGAAGAGAGGAAGUUUCCUGAGAGUUCUCUAGUUGAUCUAAGAAUCAAGAAUUACUUCAAGAUUAUCUAUUUCGGGACAUCAGAGCACUAACCACGGAAAGAGAUGAGAAGGGGGCUAGGAAGGUCUGACUACGGUCCUACAAACACCGAUCCGAACGUGGUGGAAUACGUCGACCGUUAGGGCUGUCACUACCCUAGGGCUACCACAACAAUCCGUAGGAUUGGGUGCAAUUCCAGGUAAUCACAAGACUAAACACCACGUCUAAUCUAUUAAUUACUACUCUAAUGUUUCAAAGACUAGAGCACUUGAUGCAAGCGGGAAUCCAAUAAAUAACUUGAAUGUAAAUAAAAGCAAUUAGAGAACUCAGGAGUUAUGAGUUGAAGAACCUGGAGAACGAUGAAGAAUGAACCAGAUGCUGCAAAAGUACAAUGUUGAGGAAGAUCCGACAGAUCCGGCUCCUCCUCCGCUCUCCUCUUCUCUCCCCCUAUUUUCUAGAUUACAACUAGAACUAACUAGAACUAGAACUAGAGGAACUAGAACUAGAACUAGAUGAACUAGAACUAGAUCUAGAUGAACUAGAGGUAGAACUAGAAGAACUAGAGGGAUCCUCUCUACUUGGAUGAAGAAUUGAAACCCUAACUUUGAUUCUGUAGAAGAGGUAUGAUCUCCAGGGGCCAGGAGGCCUUGCUUAUAUAGUCUUUUCAGAUGAAUCUGGGCCGUCGGAUCAAACCGACAUUGGUCGUGUGGUUUUUCUUGAAGUAUUAGGUCGGUGGAGCAUGAUCCGCGAAACGUGUCCUGAUUGGGCACUGUAGCUGGGCGGGCGCCCAGGAGAGUUGGGCGGGCGCCCUGCCUCCGAGCCCGAUUUCCUUCCCGUUCGUUCCCGUGGCUUCUAGAGUCUUCUAGAUAAUAGACCCGACGUGUGGGCCUUUCUUCCGUAUUUCCUGAUAACCCCCUGUAGAAAUAGACAAACACCAAAACUUGUAGAAUUCUGUCAGAUAAAACCCUAAGUCUAGGUGUUGGUUGCAUUUAGAUCCUUUUCCAUGAUUAAUUGAUGGUUAAAUAUGAGCAUUAAGGACCGUCAACAAGCUCCCCCAAGCUUAACCUUUGCUCGUCCCUGAGCAAAGAUGAACUCAAGAGUUUCUGCAGUGGUUUCAUAACUUAAAGAUACACAUGCGUUUAAACAAGAUCUCAUCUCUGGUUAGAGUAAACUGUUAAGACUUAAAACUUACUCAUUUACCUUUCACCAUGGGACUUGUAACCGUCACUUCUGUCUUGAGUAGUUAAAAGAUAGAACAGUCUAGUCAAGCGCCAUGUCUCUUGUUCUUCGAUUAACUAUAGCUCUGGAGUUUUUGCAGAUUUUCAAAUAAAACUCAGAGAUUCCUUGUAUGACUCUCUCUAGUCUCUUUUUUGUGGUAUUUCUGGAUGCUUACCAAGGCAGUAAUGGUGUAUACCUUCUCUCAAAGUAUGUGGUAUUUUUGGUAUGAGGCAUAGUGACAUUGCCUUCUCUCUCACCCUACUCUAAUAAGGCUUUUGAUAUCUGGAGCUCAUAGGUGCGAGACAGCUAAUACAUACUUACAAGACAUUUAUUGCAUAGUCAAACCAUGGAUCCAGAAGAACAAGUCAAUAAGUCAAAUCAAGAUGUGCAUGUGUGGCGAAUGAAUGGUGUAUGGUGAUGAUGGUGAUAACGAUGGUGAAAGUCUAAUUCUACUUAUGCUCUUUUGAGGGGAUACAUACCUUUCUUGCUCUUUUGAAACUUUUUGAGGAGAAUGAGAUGCUCUAUAUUUUCUUUUUCUUUCCUCUCAGGUGGGUAUCUUGUACCCCUAAUUCUACUGUCGGACACUUGUCCAUUUUUACCUCUCGUCUCACUUUUUUCUUUCUUUCGAGGUUCCGGGCACUUGCCCCUUUUUAUUUCCUCGUAUUUUUUUUCUAUUUUUUUUAGAGCACUCAUCUCUUGAAAUAAUGUAGCAAGUGGUAGUAACCAAGAUAACUUGAGCAUUUAUUUCACAAGGGAAAAACAGAAAUGUUUUUGGCUAUUCUCUCCCGGAUUAGGAGUAGAAUAUUUUUGGGUGGUUCUAGAGAUGGAAAUGGAUGGAUAUAUGUGGAUGCGUACUUCCAGAGUAGAAGCAACAUGUGUGAGUGAACGUGCAAGUGAAUCUUGAUUUAACCACAUGAGAAGCUCCUAAGGGUCUACAUAGCUUGACCACACUCAAUGCUCAUAAGCAGUAAAAAGUAAAUGUGUGGCUCAUAGUCUAACAAGCAUGUAUGUAUGGCUGUGGUAGGAAUUUAAACUCUCAUCAUACAGGAACUCAUCAUGUGUUAUUUUAAAGAUUUUCAAAGAUGAAAUUCUCCAGAAUUCUAGCAUCUCUAGGAACAGAUAAACAGCAGCUCAACCUUCCCAUAUCGUAUCCGUUAACGACUUAGACUUUAGAUCAAGUACUCUCCCCACAAGUUCAGGUUUAGAGCAAAUCUUAAUUAAUAACAGUCAUGCCUAAACUUGAGAGAGAUUUCAAUUUUGAGAACUAGUCAUGGCAGAGCAACUAUUCAUCAUUUCCAUGUGAGAGCUUAUCAUGAGGGUUCAUAGCUAACUUUAUUUAUUUAUUUAUUUAGCAAACUAAGCAAAGAUAUCUAAGCACAAAAUCUUUAUUUGGGUUUUUAUGAUUAUGCAUCUUUUUAUUAUUUGAGUAAAGUAUAAAUGUGAGUAAAAUACUUAGCUAGAUAAAUGGGGGUGCUCUCCCCCAAGCUGGAUUUUGACGCAAUUUCUUCUAAUGUAGCUAGCAGGCGGCGGAGGUGUAUUUGAAUGUUGGCAGCACCCUGACAGUGAUUAGGAUGUCCUCCGUCUGCUAGUCUUCUUUGAUCCUUGAAUUCUGUGGAGCUCAAAUAGACAACAAAGCUUUGUGGAACUGGUUAAGUGUUAGCAUAAAUAUCUAGCCUUUAUCAUGUUGAGCCUCCUCAAUAAAUGUUACUCUCUUUAGUAGGAUCAUAAAUUUAUUUUUAUAAUUUUAUAUUUAUAGGACAGGAAUAUAUUUAUUUUAUUUUUAUGCCACCACAGUGAAUGUACUUAUGGGUUUUAUGUCAUGAGCAUACUCACAUGGGGCUUACUAUUUUUAACAUUUUUAUUUUCUUUCCAAGAUGAUAUGAACCUGAUUAACUAAGCAAACUAUUUUAAAUAAUUAAAAGGAAAAAGAUAACUACCAAGUUUACCUCUUGGCAAGGCGUUCGGUGUUUUUAAGUCCUCCGAACGGGACUCUCUGCUUUCUCAGUCGUCCUGGGAUUCGCUAGAUGGCGUAGUCAGUGGUUCCGGCGGUGCCUCCUCUUCAUGUAUAACUAUCUUCUCUCUGCACACCUGACUCGGUGCUACGGUCUCCUCAGGACAGUUCUGUUCAAGUUGUUUGUCUUCAGACCUUACCACUUCUCCUUCGUAGUCUGCCCAUCCAUCUUUGAUGAUUUGCCUCCUCUGGUUGCGGUUGCGUCGUCUUCUUCUUGUCCGGACCUGCUUAGAGUCUUCAACUAUAUAGUUAGGGUCAGUUAAAUAGCGGCGUACCUUCUCAGAGGGGAAGUUCAUGUGGAUUUCUCCGGUUCCAAUGUAGAUGAUUGCUUUAACGGUGCUGAGGAACGGUCUUCCAAGGAUGACGGGUGGAUUGUGCUCGUCUUCUCCCAUGUCAAUAACCUUCAAUCUUUCAGAAUGUCUGGAGCUGAAAGUAUGUUGGUUGUAGGAACAUGGUUCCAUGCAGGAGCUGAUAAGUGACUGCGGCCAUUAUGUUGACGUUAGAUCCGGUGUCGUAGAGUGUCUUCUGAAAAGAAUAUCCGUUGAUUGUGCACUCGAUGAUUGGAACACUAGGGUCGUCCUUCUUGAUCAAGAAAGGCGACUUGAGUUGACGAUCUUGACCUCCUUGAGCUGCAGUGACCAUCUUAGCUGACUCAGUCCACAUUUGCUUGUUCCUGUUCCCCCUGUUGAUCAUCUCCCUUGGUUUAUGUCAGGAAUGCUCUGAGAUUUGUGUAGUCUUGUUUUUGAAGGAAAACGUCUCCUUCCUCCCCUUGAUGUAGAAACUAAUCUUGGCAGCACUAGCGUAGAUGACAGCUCCCGAGGUGUUCAGGAAUGGCCUCCCUAGGAUGAUGGGUGCCCUCUCAUCAGUAUCAGUCUCUAUCACCACGAAGUCUGCUGGAGCGUAUAAGGUACAAACUCGGACGUAGAGGUUCUUCAAUAUUCCCUUUGGGAAACUUAGCGUAUGAUCUGCAAGCUGCAAACACAUGGCUGUCUCUAAUAAAGGAUGUG
rnacentral:lncRNA from 1 species